CAAGAUGUUGAGAUCCAUCUUACCUCGCACGACAGUGGCGAAUGACUACAACUGGAGUCAUUGGACUGCAAUGGUGGGGUUGAGCUGGAGGAUGCAAUGGCGGCGGCGACAUGCACAUCAGUGCCGAGCAAAAUAAUGUGCCCAUUUUUGUUUUCCUGCAUUAGAAAAUGUUUUGCAAGAGAUUCCAGAUGCUACAACUAGUUCUCAUUAAAUUGGAGGAUACAAAAUCAAAUUCCCAAUACAAAUACAUUUUUAAUCUGGAACUAACAGAGGUUACAACAGAGAACAAUCCCUGGUUUCUCAAAUUGGAAUUCAUGCCCUUUUUAUGUCAUCGUUACAAACUAGACUUCUUUUUUUCUAAUAAGAACACACACUAUAAAGGAAAAAUAGAAAUUUCUUUUGCCAUCCUUGGUGGAGCACAUAACGGCAGGUGCAACAAGUUCAGAGUGUGCAAGUAGAAAGGAAGAGGUUCAGAGAAAAAGACUGACACUUGGUCAUGCUGCGGAGGCGUCCUGUAGUCCAUACUUGUCUGGAGCAGCAGUAAUGAGGACGGAACUAGAGAAGGCCAACGGAAAUUUUGCAAAUAACACUCCUCGCCACAUCACAUAAUUUGAUCUCCUCCAGUACCUGCUACUACUACUCCUCCUUGUUGGAUUUGGGCACGGCCAACCUGACGACCAACAACAACAGUAGCACAGGUGGGUCUAAUUUUCCAUUAACAACCACUGUCAUACGCUGACCAUUGGAGGACAAGUCGUGGCUGUGCACGAGAGAUGCAGAGGGACCAAGGGGAGCAUGGAGUGGAUGAGGUAGGAGGGGCUGAGAACAGCAUCAUCGACAGCGGGGCUGACUAAGACGACCUGCGGAGGCGUCGGACGGCGGAGAGACGAGGCUGGAAGCUCGAACGGCGCGCGAUGACCAGCUCAGAGGCGGUGCAUGGGAGAAGGCAGGCUGCAGGGGUGGCGCACGGCGCCCGGUGCGCAAGUGACCCGAGAAAGGAGGCGGGAUACAGGGUUGACCCACGGUGAGGUGGGAGGAGCUGGAAGUCCAGAUCAGGGUCUCGGCGUGGUUCGCCAUGGGGAUCCAUGGUGAUGUAUGGUGACUCGCUUGGGGGAGGGAGGUUGGAGCGCCGGCAUCAUCUAGGAGAGGCGAGUGGUGGAAUGAGGAGGGCGCGAGCUCGGGAACGGCGGCGGCGGGCGAGCUCAAGAACAACUACGGUGGCGCACUAGCUCAGGAACGGCGGCACGCACGAGCACAGGUGCCGGCAACGCGUGGAGGUGUGUGGAUCCUGGUGGCGGCGUUGGUGAGAAGUUGGCGGUGUGGGGAGGUGGGUCGCGGCGGCGGUGGUGCGCAGGCGGCAGCGCAGGGAUGUGGCGGCGCGGCGCACGGGGCUGCUUGGGUGCAGCGGCGAGGAUCUGGGAGGUCGCCGCGGCAAUGGCGGAUCUGGGGGGAUAAGAUGAGGCGUUUUUUUGUUUUGGGAAGUUCGGGAGGGCCCGACAGGGCCCUAUAUUGUGCAUUGUGAUCGAAUAGUUAUUCUAAUCCCAGGAUUAGAAUAUCACUUGGGGGCUUGGUCAUAUUCGAAUCAUAGCUUAAACCCUCUUGAUAGGCGUAAGGCCACCAGGGAAAUCACUUGGGGGCUUGGUCGUAUUCGAACCAUAGCUUAAACCCUCUUGAUAGGCGUAAGGCCACCAGGGAAAUCACUUGGGGGCUUGGUCGUAUUCGAACCAUACCUUAAACCCUCUUGAUAGGCAUAAGGCCACCAGGGAAAUCACUUGGGGGCUUGGACAUAUUCGAACCACAGCUUAUACCUUCUUGGUAGGCGUAAGGCCACCAGGAUGAUCACUUGGGGGCUUUGGUCGUAUCCGUACCAUAGCUUAAACUCUCUUGAUCGGCACAAUGCCACAAUUAUGCCAAUUCAAAACCUCUUGAUUUUUUAGGUUUAUUUAAUUCCACUUAUCAUACUUUAUGGUUCUAAUGCACCGGUGUUCAUUAAACCGGCUUGGUUUUGACUAUAAGUCGCCAGUAACAUCUGAUACUUAUCAACACCCGGUCCAACUUUAUUUAUAAACCGGUAACAUCUGAUACUUAUCAAGGUUCCGGUUGUGGGUUAUAACCCUCAUUACACUAGUUUGGGGUGAUCAACCAUCAUAGGUAUGAUAUCUUUUAAUGAUUAUUAUUUCCACCAGCUUUGAUUAUAAAUCAUGAUAAAUUCAUGUUGGGGCAGUAUAAUCCGUCUUGCGGUAAACCGCCAGGACAUUUUUUCUCUGUUGUAUGAAGGAACAGCUUUAGGAUGAAUAAUAUCAUCAGGCAUACAUGGCGUGUCUUCACAUAACGAUAAAGAAGUAUCAUUGAAACAACCAAAUAUGCACGAGGGAGUAUUAAAGCAAAAGGUUUGAAGCUAGCCCAUUACAAGGCAUUUUGAGCCCAAAAGAUAAUGGUUUUUAAGUCUCAAAUAGCAGCUGAUAAACCGACCCCGGCUCAUGAAUCCUGACCCGGCUGACUGGAUGGUUGCGCCUCACCCCUUGCCGGUUCGUCUUCCUCCACCAUCUGGAAAUUGGGUUUGGACCAGUCAAAGCCAUGAAGGGCGACAAAUUCAGACUCAUCAUCAAUCAGACCAGACGGGUCAAUCUCAGGGGCAAAAGUGUGCUUACGAAUCGGCAGGAUUAAGUCCAUCACUUUAUAGGAAGGAGUCGCCAUCUUCUUAUUGUCUGCAUCAAAACCCGGCUGAUACUUAGUGAGGUUGGUUUCUUAACCGAUAAUGGUAGCACGAGGACGCGUUUCCUUGACACAAGCAGCAAAAUCUUCUUGGUUGAAAGGUGUUCCAUCUUCUUUAAAGCUGGGGGUAUCCUUUAGCCACGUCUGCCGGGUCUAAUUCUGGCACCCAGGCUUUAGCAGAGCAUAAAGUUGUUACAGCUCCAGCUCUCGCGCAUGAUCGCUUGAUUUCUUGGAACCGGCUGGGCAAGAUAGACAGCUUCUUCAAGAUGUCACUUAAUAGAGUCGGUCAUUGAUUCACGGGGGAGAUAGGGGCAAGUGUCUGUUGAGCUCCGGUGUACAACUGUUCAACCAACGUGUAAACCACCUUCAGCUUUACUAUGGUAUCCCGGUUCAGAUUGCUGCUCUUGGGACCUGAAAAUAUCAUACAAUGAGUUAAGUGGCGGCUUAUAAUGGAAUAUAUUUAUUUGAAGUAUGUAACAAAGUGACUUACCGAAGAUUGCAGAAACCAUUUGAGACACACGGUUCUUUAAACCGGUGAGUUUAGCGGUGACUUCUCCUAGAGCCGCUUCAGCCUUCUCUGCACGAUGUGUUAAAACAAUCUUCUCAUUAGCCCAAGCUUAUUUUUCCACUGUGAAGUUGGUCUUCAAUUUUUCGGUCUCAGAAACACUCAACUGGAAUUUGGAUUCAGCCUUCUUUGUCUCUAUCUCUUGAGUCGCUAGUCGGGCCUUGGCCUCAACAGUUGGGAUUCUAGUUCUGUGGUUGCAACCUACAUACAUCAUAAUGUUGUUUCAGUUUCAUGGCGGAUUAUAAAAGAUAAGUCCCAAGUGUUUUGUCAACAAUAACACUUGGCACUUCGGGGCUAAUGUCUGUCAGCGCAAUUUUUUUCAAAGGAAACAAUUUUUCUAAAAAGUCCCAAGUGUUUUGCAGGCAACAACACUCGACACUUGGGGGCUAAUGCAUAUUGCUUGACUUUUCUUUCUACAAGUGAGCCGUAUAAGCUGUCCACAGUCUCAGCCGGCUCAGGCAGGUUAUACGGUUUAGUUCAAUGCAAUAAUUAGUACGACCGGCUCAUUCAUACUGAUUAAACCGGCCCUUGGAGGCUAGUAGGCUAUAUAACUUAUAUGAGCCGGAGAACAUACCUCAUAUUUUUGAUGCAUCUGUUUGACCAUUUCAAUUUCUGAGUCAUGGCUAGAGUGCACUUGACUGAGAUAACCGGAUAGCACUUCACUAAUACUCAGGUGAGCAUAGUGGGAGACAUCCAACCUCACCUUUUGCCUCUACAUAACUUCUUGUUUGGCAGAGUGUCUUGCCAAGAUAGUUGGGUUCCCCAGUUCAACGAAUCUAGUGCUAGUGAUUAAAACAUCAACAUUGUGCUUCUCCGGCGGGUUAGCUGAGCUUGACGAAUCAAUACUAGAUGGAUCAAUAGUAGUUUCAUCUGUAGACUGCUCGGGUAAAUCAGGUUGAACGUUGAAGGCAAGGUCCUCUGGCCAUUUAGCGUGUUCGGGCAGAAAUGUUGACUGCUCCGGGUCUUCAAGAUGUUCUGGUACGAGGUUUGGCUACUCCGGUUCAGUGGUUCUCGGAUCCUCAGCCGGUUUUGUUACAUUUGCUUUCUUGGGCUUUGCUUGACCGCUAGAAAGGAUUAGACAAGUCAGUACAAUGAUACAUAUUUAAAGGUGUAUAAGAAGGGUAGUUAUCUUUACCCGGGGGCGGUCGUGAAAGCCGGAAAUUGCGUCUGUGAUGAAUCGCAGGAGGAGGAAUGGGAAAUCUCCUAUAAAUAUGGAAUCAAAAAGAAGUGAUGAAGGUAAUUCAUUGAAUAAAUACAAGGGUGAAAGUCAAAAAUGAACCUCAUUCUGGCGUUUCCAAGGAGAUUUUGGUAAGCCGAAGGGUAAAUCGUCAUCUCCACCGGCUGGGUCUGCCGGCGGCUUUCAUGUUGCUGUCGUUUAAAAAUAAAAUGAGGAUCUAAAUAAGCCAAGGGGUGUCAAAACCUUUCUUUCCGGGUUACCCGCCGAAGUUUCUGCCUUGGUAAAGGUUCUGAGUCGGUGGAAAUAAUAUUUACCUCUUCUUCAACUGCCUGGCUGGCCCCCGUGUCAUCCUGGUAAUAGUCAAUGUCAAUAAGGUGGUUAAAAAGCAUGCCAAGAGAGUCAAGGGCUACCUCCGACUCAGAGGUGUCAUCCAGCUUGAGUAACUCAGAGGCGGUUGGCUUCUUCUUCUUCGAUUUUCUGACGAUUUUCUUGGUGGCUAUCGCAACAACUCUAGCUUUCUUGGUAGCCUCAUGGUCAUACUUGACUUUCCAAAAGUCAGAUUUAGCCCGUGGAAGGGUAGCAUGUUGAAAUUCAUGCAAAUAUUUAAACUGCUGAAGUAAAAGAAGUCAAAGGAUUUACCUCUGGUGCCGGGUUAAGCUUGCAAAAAGGAUUUAACCCCACUAUGCUACAUCUUCAUACUUGCUGUUGACAAGAGUAGUUGCCAUUUCCGCAAUGGCUUCUUCCGUCAGACGCAGGGAACUAUGACGUAAUGGAUCAUCUAUUUCUCUGGUGUAGUUACACAUCAAGCCGGAUCGACGGCUCAGAGGGAUGAUCCGCCAUGCGACCCAACAGUGGAUCAAGUCAACUCUAGUUAACCCAUUUCCAAGUAAGGCUUGAACUUUUUGGAUUGUGGGGACAAGUUUCUUGCAUUCAGCGGAAGAAAGCUUAUCAGGAAGUUGAUACUUGGCGUCAAGACGUUCAGCACGGUAACCCGGCAUUGGGUUUUCAUCAGACGGUGAGGAAUCCUUGCAAUAAAACCAUGUCUGAUUCCAAUCCUUAGGAUGGCUUGGCAGAACUACAAAAGGGAAGAUGGCAUCCCAUCUACGUUGAAUUGAAAUCCCGCCAAGUUCUAAGCUGGGACCAUUGGUGUAUUCGUUCUGGCGGUUCAGGUAGAAAUAUUCUCUAAAAAGCUCCACCAAAGGUUCUUCUUGAAGAUAAACCUCACAGAAAACUUGGAAGUUGCAGAUAUUUGAUAUGGAAUUGGGUCCGAUAUCUUGCGGGUGAAGCUUGAAAAAAUGCAAAUCAUCUCUAAAGAAUUUUGAGCCGGGUGGUGAGAAGCCCCUGUUCAUGUGAUCAGUGAAAACAAUAAUUUCACGGUCCUUCGGCUGAGGUUUCACUUCAGCCGGGUCAGGAGCAUGGUAAGACAUGACACUUUUUCCGGUAAGUAUCCAACAAUGACAAAGUCUUUCAAAGUACUUUCGGUGACUGUGGAAGGGACCCAGUUGCAAGUGGUCAUCGUCUUUGGAGGCAUGAUGAAAUGACAAUCUAAAAGAAAUAAUUUGCCGGAUCAAGUUAGUUAGUGGGACUGCAAAUCAACAACUACAGAGCUUGUUUUAAGCAAGGGCUAAUGAUAUAUGAGGUACAGGUAAGCCGGGAGAGUAAGCCGCCAUGGUUAAGAUAUUCAAGAAUGACCAAAAACAAGAUUUGCUAAAUACUGAGAUAAACAAGUUCCACAUUUGGAGGUUAUAAAUUUGGAUUUACUGCCGUUCAGGAAAAGGGGAUAAAUUCAUCUAUAAAAGGCGACAGUGGAAAAAUAGAGAAGCCCUAGAGGAGAUUUUCCACGGCGGGGAUGUGAUCUAGUAUUAAAACAAGUGCUAAAACUACCACCGCGCAAGCUUUCCAUAUAUUUUGGAUCUAAUACGUGGAUCUAAAUAAAGGAAAAGGAGGAGGAGGAUGAAUGCAGAUGAACACCGAAGAACACCGAUGAAACCCUAAUGGCGAGAUUAGUGAUGAACAGAGGAAGACUUACUGGGGAUGUAAGAGCAGUGGAGUUGCACCGCAGUUCUCUGGUUUUCUCAGGGCGAUGCAGCGGCUGGAGUCGAGGACGAGGACAGAGGUCGACGGCGGCAGGGCUCGUACUAGGACGGCGCUCUGUGAGGAAGGAAGGAGACGGAGAAGAAUGGAAGAUGGCUUUCGGGUCCUAUUUAUAAGGAGACAGAAACAGGCAGGCACGAAAGACGAGGAUGCCAAAUGAUAGUUAUCCAGCUAAUUGGGUGCCUCGAUUUUCGGGAAGACAUUAAGAUAAAGAUCUGUUAAGAUGGCGUCGGGCGGGUUUCCAAAAAUCUAGGAGAUGACGUCAUGGCGGGUUACAAGUUUUCGCAGCGGGAAUGAGAGGAUUUUUUCUAAGUAUUCAAGGUUGACAUGAACGAGUCCAAAUCAACCUGGGCCUAAUGUUGGGGAUAUGAUUAUUAGGUAUGACCCGCCCAGGAGGGGCCGGGUCAACCCUAUGAAGAUUCAUCACAAUGAAGCCCAAGGUCACCUGUCGAUUCAUAGAUAGGCUUAGUAGAGGGCCCAGACCCAAAGGCGGCUUAAAUCCCACGAGUAUGAACCGCCAUAUAUGUAAAAUUGUACUGUAAGGCAUGUGUAAAAGGUCACCGAGCCGGAUACAUUGUAUAAGCCGGCCGGGACUUUGAGGGCCGCAGGGCAUCUUCCUGUGUAUAUAAGGGGACGACCUAGCGGCGGCUUAGGGCAAGAAACAACAGAUCGAGAGCCGGGUCAAGCAUAUUCGCUCCUUGCUCGUCGAAACCCUAGCAAUACCAACUACAAACUGGACUAGGCUUUUACCUUCAUCGUAAGGGGCCGAACCAGUAUAAACUCUCCGUGUCCUUUGUCCUGUUUAACCCCUUUUAAGUUAACCUCAACGCGAUGGCUCCAUGACUAAGUCCUCAAACUAGGACAUCUGCCGUGACGAUUCCACAACAGUCACGGAACUCGCAAGUUGAUCACCAAACAUACAUCAAGUGGGUCAUGUGAAUAUCCCAUUGUCACCACAUAUAAGCACAUGCAAGACAUACAUCAAGUGUUCUCAAAUCCUUAAAUACUCAAUCCGAUAGGAUAACUUCAAAGGGAAAACUCAAUCCAUUACAAGAGAGUAGAGGGGGAGAAACAUCAUAAGAUCCAACUAUAAUAGCAAAGCUCGCGAUACGCCAAGAUUGUGCUAAGUCAAGAACACGAGAGAGAGAGAGAGAGAGAGAUCAAACACAUAGCUACUGGUACAUACCCUCAGCCCCGAGGGUGAACUACCCCCUCCUCGUCAUGGAGAGCGCCGGGAUGAUGAAGAUGGCCACUGUUGAUGGAUCCCCCCUCCGGCAGGGUGCCGGAAUGGGGUCCCGAUUGUUUUUUGGUGGCUAUAGAGGCUUGCGGCGGCGGAACUCCUAAUCUGGGUUAUUUUCUGGAGGUUUCAGUAUUUAUAGGAAUUUUUGGCGUCAGGAACAAGUCAGGAAGGUGCCCGAGUCGUCUACGAGAAAGGGCAGCGCGCCCGGGGGGUAGGGCGCGCCCCCACCCUCAUGGACGGUCGGGACUCUUCUGGCCCAACUCUUUUACUCUGGGGCUUCUUUUGGUCCAUACAAAAUCAUCAAAAAUUGGCACAUCAAUUGGACUCCGUUUGGUAUUCCUUUUCUGUAAGAGUUAAUUACACUUUUAAUACAUGAACUUGCAUGACGGAUACAAAUUCAUACAUAAAGUUGAAAAAUGUCAUAAAGUAGUACAACAACUUGCGUUUGAGGUAUAUUUACAUACAUUUCGGAUCCCAGGCCAUUAUCUCUCAAACCAAAGACAACACAACAUUGACCUAGAAAGGCUAGCCAGUCCACCAACCGUUACUUGUUGUUUAAUUAGUCAUAAUCUCCUUAUAUCAUCGACAUAAUUGUUCUUGUUCUUUCUCCAUAUAAUUUUUGAAACCAAAUUGGCAUGCCUGUCGGUUCACAUUUCUACAGCCGUACUGCCCGUUUACUGGUUCCUCAGCUAUUUUUUAGGCACUAUAAUUUAGGAUGUAUUCUUUACUAAGAGCAUCUAUAGCCAGACCCUCCAUACCUGCCCUAGAUGCCCCGAUGGGCUGCCUGAUCAUUGUCUGGACCAAAAAACGCCACCCAACCGGGCUACCCGUAUUCGGCCUAAACGUCCGGACUUACCGAUACUCUCCAUAUCCCGCCAUAUAUGGGGCGAAUAUGGGAGUCCCGGAAGCGCCUGAGCACGCCCGCCACGUAGGACUGACCGCUGGUGUCCGUGGCAAUUUGGUCAUAUCAGCUUCCCCUGUCCUUGCUUGAGCAACACUCUUCUCUUCUCUAUUCACCCUCCUCCGCAUUAUCAUCACCAGACUUCCGCCGGCAUCGGUGCUCCGCCGCCAUCCCAACUCAGGGCUUCACGACCAGACGCCCCAACCCACACUGCCGCCGACCAGGUCGCCAUCGGACAAGGUUGCCGCCACCGGACGGCUUCCCGGUAUGUCAAACUCCCCCAUAUUUUCACCCCGCGCUCUAUGUGUUCGAUGAAAUGUCUAAGCUGAUUUUUGAUUCUUUUGGUCAUUACUUCCAUUUCACCAAUGGAUUCGGCAUGUAAAUCAAUAAACUUUGCAAAUAUCCUUGGACAACUUGGUUUUUCCCCCGGUUUGUUAAAAAAUACUUCUGGUUUAGUGGGCUAGUAAGCCAAACAAUUACUUGAAAGUAAAGUAUCACUUGCGUGUAGUGCAUAGUUUUUUAUUCAGAUCAAUUGUACCUCUAAAAGAUAUAUAAAAUCACUAUAUACAUCUGAACCAGUAAUAAUAUGUAGCUCACUGGUUAGUCGAUCACCGCUUGCCGCAAACUCUCGAGUUCUAGUCCUGCGGGAGCAACGCGUCUUUAUUUUUCUUCCUCUUUUCCCACUUACAGGUGGGCCCCACACUUAGAGACCACAUGGAUUUAACAUGGAGAUAUCCUAAAAAAUGUUAACUGGGAGAUAACAUCCAUGGACGGAAAUGUAUGUAAAUGUACUUCAAACAUAAGUUGUUGGACUAAUUUGUGUCAUUUUUUAACUUUAUGUAUGAAUUUGUACGCUCCGUGCAAAUUUAUGUACUAAAAGUGUUAUUAACUCUUUCUGUAAAACUCAAAAACAAGGAAAAACAGAAACUGACACUGGGCUCUAGGUUAAUAGGUUAGUUCCAAAAAUCAUAUAAAAUAGCAUAUAAAUGCAUAUAAAACAUCCUAGAUGGAUAAUAUAAUAGCAUGGAACAAUCAAAAAUUAUAGAUACGUUGGAGACGUAUCAGAGACGUAUCAGCAUGGUGUCACGUCAUAUAUGUCAUGGUAACAACAUUUUCCAAUUUGGGCCAAGCUUUAUUACAAACCUCUUACAAAAACUGGAGCUUCUCUCAAAGAAGCCUCGUGGUUCUGAUAGGGAAAUGUGUCCCCCUUGUGGGCGAAACGUAAUAACUGCCUCUUUUCGCCUUGUAUUUUCUUCUACGGGCAACAUGGAAUGACAGGAUAUCUGUGUUGAAAUUUAAACGAUAUUCGUUGCGUAUUCUCGCCUUGAACUUUGUUUUUUAUAGGCAACAUAGAAUAACAGGACUGUCGGGCUAAAAUUUGAAACUGUUCAGGGUUCGUUUGGCCAUUGUGUGUGUGUAUAUAUAAUAUUUUGAAUAAUAUUAUGAUCACAACCUGACCUACCCCGCUAGUAGUACGUUGAACUUCCCUGUGAACUAGGUUGAACUUCCGCCAACAUUGCCCAAAUGGGGCUUGCGAUAUACCGUUGGAAAGCUAUGGACCCCAAUAUCAUGACCCAACUUAAAUUUUUGGCAAAAUAUAAGUGGUUUAAGAGCAGCUUUGAAAACCGUUAAUUCUUCGCACAAAAAACAUGAAUCGUAUUUUCGAUCGCAUUUCUAAACCGUUUUUUGGAAUGAGGCAUAUAAUAUGGCGUUGGAAAGCUGCUGCAAAACCGCUCCUUCCACAUGUUGAAAGUUUUUCUCUAAUUCCCUAUGGUUAAAGAGUAAUUUGAAAAAACGUAAAAUUUCGUAAACCAAACAGCUGAGUUCGUUUUUUCGAUGACAUUUCUAAAUGGCUAAUCCAGUGGAGGCAUAUGAUAUGGCUUUGGAAAGCUUAUGAAAAUGCGCUACUUUUUCAUCUUGAAAGCUUUUUUCUAAUUUUGAAUGGUUUAAGAGUAAUUUAGAAAAUGGUCCAAGUCCUACCGAGUUCGUAUUUUCGAGCUAAUUUUUUAACCGUGCUUCCAAAUGCAUCAAAUGAUAUGGCGUUGGAAAGCUUGAACAAAUGCGAAACUUUUUGGUAUGUAUUAUUUCUCCAAAUUCUUUACGGUUUUAAGUCAGUUUUGAAAAUGACGAAAAACAUUUUUUUGCUGUAAUUUCUACGAACUUUACCGGAAUGGGGCAAAUAAUAUAAUGCUAAAAAGCUAGGGAAAAUGCGAAACUUUUUCAUGUUUAUGGUUUUCUCUGAUUCCUAGCCGUUUUCAAGUAAUUUCGAAAACGGCUGGAUCUUGCGUUCUGCCUUUAUCGCGAAACAGAUUCUUCGAAAAUGCACCGUGUGAAGAACCUGAACUUCUUGGCGCGUGUACCUGAACUUCACUCUGUUUUUCACGUGAAUUUUUUGCUCGUAGGUCUCCAUCCACUUCUCGUAACUCUCCAUCCACUCACCGGAAUUGAGCAAGUGAUAUACCAGUGGAAAGCUGUUGUAAGCACAUAACUUUCCCGUGGUGAUCAUUUUUCAUACUCGUGAUGAUUUUAAAAGUUUUUCAUCUGAAAUUCAUUUGGCGUAGUAGUUGAACUUCAUACUGUUUUUACGUUGAACUUCUGUGACGUAUUUUCGUUUGUAAUUUUCUCAUCCAUUCGUCAGUGUUACACAAAUGAUAUUCUUGUUGUACAAACCUCUCUCACAAUAAUUUUUUUAACUUUCUCCGACGGAGUACUUGAACUUAUAACGAGAACAAAUUUAGCCUUUUCAUUUUUAUUCUUUUUAAUACAAAAUGCACAUCGUGUAGAACAUGAACUUCUCAUAGUUUAUCAACCUGAACUUCUCUCGGUUACGUGCAAAUAUCUAAGUUUUUUAUAAAUAUUAAUCUGAAUUUCUUAAUCCUUUUUUUGUGAAUUUUAAAGCGCUCCAUUUUUAAAAGUUGAACUUCUUGUUAUUUUAUUUUUGAACUUCUUAUUUCCAUUCUUUAAUAACGAGAAAAAUCUGAGUUUUCUAUAAUCAUCAAACUUCUCCAUAUUUUUAAUAUGGACUUCCUGGUUUUAUUUUCUUAAUUUUUUAUGAAACUUUGAACUGUUGUAUUAUUAAAAGUUGAACUUCUUGUUUUCAUUCUUAACAAAUCUGAGUUUUUAUAUACUUUGAACUUCUCUGUUAUUUUGAAUUGAACUUCUUAGUCUUAUUCUUAGAAAAAUAUGUUUUCAAAGAAGCAUCAAACAUUUUUUUUAAAUCGAACCUCACACAUUUAUUGUUCCUAGGGAUGGAAAGAAUUUGAGUUUCCCGUAAACAUCAAACUACUCCUUUUAUUUUAAUUUGAACUUCUUUAAUUUUAUUCUUUAGUGAAAAAGAGAAAGCUAUUUUUUAUAAAUAUUGAACUUCUCUAUUUUUAUAAUUUGGACUUCAUGGUUUAUUUGAAAUACUUUCUUUUUCCAUUUGAACAUCUAAAUACACGGUGAACCUCUUUCAAAAGAAUUUUUGAACUUUCCCGGACCGAGCACUUGAACUUCUACCAACAAAACUUUUAGACUUUGCCCUUUUAUUGUAUUUUUCUAAUACGAAACACACACCAUGUAGUACGUGAACUUCUGACAGUUAUCGCUUUGGAUUUCUCUUUUGUUUCUCGUUAGCAAUUGAAAAAAUCUGAGAUUUUAUAGACAUCGGUCCGCUCUAACUUUUCACAAAACAAAAUUAUAGUUUUUUCCGCUUUCUAUGAUUUAAUUUUUUGUCUCGGGACAUUUUUAGGCAUUUUUUUGUUGUCAGUGAAAUGGCCUAGACGAACCUUUUUUUCAUUGAUGAUUUCCUUCAGUAUAUGGUACACGUGAACUUGUGAAUUUCUAAAACAUGAACUUCACAUUUAUAUCUAAAACAUGAAUUUCUAAAACAUAAUGGUUUAGCUUUUUAGAAAUAUACUUCGGGGCGUAUAUAAUCGUCAGUGUUGAAUUAUUUUGAAUACAAGCUCAAAUUAUUUUAAACUUCUUGGUUGUCCUUUUAGAAAGAUGGAUAACUAUUUUGAACUCCGUCGCUCGUUAUUUAAGUUUAACCUUUCAGAAUUAUUUUAUUUAGUAACGAUGAAACUCUUUUUUGAUAAACUUUUUUGAACUUCUCUAUUUUCAUUUUAACCUUCUUGGUUUUGUAAUACAUAUUGAACUUCUUCGUUUUUAAAAUUUGAACUUCUAGUUUUUAUUAUAAAUAGAUUCAACAUAUUACUUUUAUUCCUUUUUUGGAUAAGAGAAACAAAAAUUGUAUUGUACAGUGAGAAGUUCAUUUUUUUGCAGUGUGAAAAGUGGCAUUUUGUUGUAAAUUUGUUGUUGUUUUAUUUCUAUCUUUUUUUACAAAAUGAACAAUGCAUGUUUCGCUGGGAGAAAUGCACAAACAUUGAAUGUAUAAGGGAAAUUACUACAUGCUUAUGCAGGUGCAGAAAUCUGAAUUAUUUAGAGAAGGGAGAAACUCUGAAUUUGUAGCUCGAUAGAACCUGAACUUCUGCUUUCUUUGUGAUUUGGGAAUCUGGGUAAGUUAAUAUCAUUAAGGAGCAGCAACGGAAUAGUAUAUGUUUGUGUACAGAUCCAAGAGCAUAGCUUUCACAAAACUUGUAUGAAGAUUAUCUCCAAAGAAGCAGGGACCAGGGGACUAGUCGGUCGCAGGAGAUGCAUCAAUUGCAGAGUUGAAGCACGUAAAUGGAAAAAAAUCUAAGAAGUCCAAGUAUUGUUACAACAAGAGCACUACCCGAUGCAGUUGGAAUGGCUGCACACGCACGACGAUCUGGCCCCGAUCCAAAGGGAGUGGCCUUGAAAGAGGAGGCACACAACAGUGGGUACCAGAUCUCUCCAAUCCACACGGGCCACGAGGAUGAAUGAUGAGCUGACCACACAAAAGUAAAACUGAAAAAAAGUGUCCAUGGAUCCGGUACAUACAAUCUCCUAUGAGCUUUGAAUCUGAAGCAGGUCGGCAGGGUUACUGACCGUUGCGAGUGAGAGAGACCAUGGAUGGAUCCUCCAAAAGAGAAGAAUCCUGCAGUGCUCACCAUUUUGUUUACUGUCAGCUGCUGGUAGAUCCUGUCGGUGAGGCGACGAGGUCUCACCGGCGCUAAUUAAUCUUGAAACCCAUGCCGGUGAUCUUAAGUCUGCAUGAGUAUAUAAUUAGCGCCAGUGGGGAGAUAAAAGUUCAAGUACGCGUAAGCUAGCUUUGCUCCCCGCAGGGUGAACGCAUGGGGGAUCACGCGGAGGUGAAUGGAGGCCCGACAUGUGGCCUUGGACAGCCGAAUCAGAUAGAUACAAGGGCGGCGCUGGCGGGAGGUCCAUCCAACCACCACACGUAGGUGGCCUUGGACUGAGGUGAAGCAUCAAUGACGGAUCUGGCCCCAGCUCUGGCCGGUGAACUUCGUGCCGCGGCCCAAUCGACCUGCAGGAGCAUGGUGGGGAGACGUGCAUGGGAUCUCUCCCCGAUGGUGAUCCAGGGCGGCGCCGGCGCAGGUGUUCAGCAGCGGAUGGUUGGCCGGGCCUCGCUCGUCAGAAUUUCGGAGAUGGCAAUGGAUCCAAGAGGAAGGGCAGGAAGCGGUAGGAAGCGGGGUAAAGAGGAGGUGCUGGGGUGGGCGUCGACGGUGGGAGGCAUGCCGGAGCCGGAUGGGCGGUGGCCGGAGGUGGGCGGGCGGUUUGGUAGGGAGGAUUCGGGAGGCGACGCGGGAGGUGGGCGACGGGGGAUGGGGGAUGGGUGUUUUUUUCUUCGUUUGAAUGCUCCGAUCUCAGGAACACCUCAUCGCCCCUAUAUAUAGAGCGUUGUGAUCCAAAUAACUAUAUUACUAAUUACUUAGUUUUCUAUGCAUUUAAUGUAGUCCAUAAUUCAAAUUUGAACUACAACCACAUGCUCCAGUGAAGCAAAAUGGGUGGGAAAUCGUACAUGUGUCAUUGGGUGCAUGUUUAGGUCUCGUUUAAGGAAUGAGAAUGAAUUACAAACUUGUCGUCAUCCUGAAACAUUGAGAAUCUUAGUUUUUAAAUCCCAGUAAAUCAAAAAGUCACCCAAAAAACAAGAAACUUGGCAUGGUUUCAUGACAUGGCACAUAUAUGCCGUGGUAAAAAAUCAUCCAGUUUGAGAAGAGGCACACACAUUAGUAGCUAAUGAAGUCCUUUUUGAAACAAAAAGCUGACACGUUAAUAUCGCAAAUGAUUGUAUUACAUUUACCAUGUCGAAAUUUAACCAUACCCGGUGGCGUGCGUGCAGCUAUUUGAUUAGACGGGACGGGCGCGAGAAGUCCGCCGUGCAGGCUCGACAGGAUGCACGCGAGCAGUCCGCCGUGUCGUGGUACUAAGUUUGACAAUAGAAUGGGGGGUAGAUAUGAGGAGGAAAGAUCCUAGCGACGGUGAAGUUGUGCACGCAAGAUUUAUGAGUUCAGGCCCUUCCCAGAUGAAGUAACAGCCCAACGUCUCGGUCCCCAGAGGCUUGGUCGAUUGGAUUAUGCGUGAAGUUACAUAGGGUGCGAACCCUUGUCCCAGAGGAGGGGGGGUGGCUUAUAUCGAGUGCGCCAGGACCCCAGCCAUCCCCCGUUACACAAGGUUCAAUGUACAUAAAGAGAGGACGCGACUGGUAACGCCAACAUUAAAGUGAUAUAAAUGACCCUUAAGUCUACUGAGUGAAUGUCCGACCAUUGCCAUCCAAAGUAACCAUAGAUAUUCUGUACUCUGAGUGGUUCCUGAUGGUUGAAUGAUUAUAUCCUGGUCGAAUGGAAUUGAUUUAUCCGAGUGGAACUCAUGGUCGAGUGUGUUGCAUCUUGAGGUGAUUCCAGUCGGUAUAGUUUGCUGUCCUUUGAAUGUCUUUGACUAUAGGGCAGUGCCCUUGGGAAGGGUACUUAGAUCAGGUAUAUUGCCCUACCCCAGGUACAUGUCAUCGUCAUUAGCCCCCGAAUGGUUCUGGAUCCGAGCGGAGAUGGAGUUGAAGAUGGUUUCGACCCAAUCUUUGCGCCGCGGAAGCAUUUUACUUAGUUUGGAGAACCAUGCAACAACUUCGACUUCAUUUUUAGUUGCCUUGAGCCAUUCAGAGAUUAUUGAGUGAAUUUUGCUGAUAAGCUUCGACUGUUGAUACUGCAUAAAAUCUCCGGCGUGAUUGACUGCUCUGCCGUUUCCGGAUCUCACGGGAUUCGAAAUUUGGGGAAGCGCAUGGGGCGGAGAGGGCCAUAGUAAUCAGAGCGGAUUAGGCAAGGUGCCUCGAUCCUUGCGCCACCUUUUUCAUCACGUACUGCGCACGUGACUAUUAUGGGAUUUGACAGGAUCGCCUAGACCCACAAGUCAGCCACUCAGGGAGCCAACCCAUAUAAGGCGUUCGGGCCAGGGCCUUUGCACUAUGCGCCCCAUUUCCCUCUUCUUCCUCUGCUUCUCCACCGCAUCUGCUCUGCUCUUAGUGCCGCCACCCAGUCCAAGCUCAAUCGGCCGCAAUGGGGAAGGAUAGGAUGGUGACUCUGGAGCGCGUGAAGGGGGUGACAACCAAGGCGAAGGGGAAGAAGACAAGCCGGGCAGGGUCGUCAUCGAGAAUUGGCCUGCCGCCCGGCUGGAUCCAGGGCGACUGGAUCUGGUCGAUGAUCCAGUGAGAAGACAUGGAGGAUUUGAUGGACGGGGGCUUGAUUCCCCACAAAUCUUGGCGGCUUCUGGAGGACGAGACCGAGCCGUGACCGCAAGAGGGUGAGUGCGUCCUUCUUGCGACCCAUGUCGACCGCAGCUUCUCUUUGCCUCCCCACCCCUUCUUCCGGGGUUUCCUGAACUUUGUUGGAGCCCAACUUCAUCACUUUUCUCCCAACAACAUAACAUACCUUGCCGUAUACGUGUCCAUGUGUGAGAAAUUUCUGGGUUGGCGACCGCACUGGGCCUCUUCAAACACAUUUUCACCUGUCAUUCUCAGUCGGUAAAAAAGGCCAAUCCGAGUGAUGAGAGGACACACGUGAUCCAGAUGUGGAGAGGUCCAGGGAUCCAGAUGAGAAAUAAAAGCACUUUCCCCGCCAUGAUUUUUCCCGAGUCAGUCAGGGGGUGGCAAUCGACUUGGUUCUAUUGUAAGGACCAACCGACCCCAGGCCAGUCGACUGGCCUUCCCCCGUUUUCCAUAGAAUGAGUAGAGAAGCCUUCUCCUUUGAGAGUGACUCCGGCUGAAAAUGCAGAGGUGAAUAUGUUGGUUGAGCGAGUGGUCCAACUUGUCCGCGAUGGGGUGACUGGCAUGGACUUGCUAGAAGUUUUUCUCAGUCGACGCAUCCAGCCACUCCAAGCCCGUGAUCAUCCAAUGUGGAUGUACUCGGGUGUUGAAGACAGUACUCGGAUCCACCUAGAGGAUGUCGAUGAGGGGACAGUGGCGCAGUGGCUGCAAGGUAUUACUGGCAACAAAGACAACCCCGAGGGGUCUAGGAGGGUUCCUCCACUCGAAAACACCAUCGAACCUGACAAGGUCUUAUUCUUUCCUCCCAAGUGUAUCUUGCUCUAAUAUGUGUUUGGUCUUGAAACUGAUUGAUAUCCACUCAACCCCGUGUAUUGUAGAUCUACACUGAGAUGCACUCGAUGCCGAACGGAGAGCAGGAGGAUGAGGGAGAGGCGAGUGGAGGGGACAAUGGUGAGUGGCAUUCUGACAAGGGGAGACGAGGAGAGCGAGGACUUGAGCAGUGGUGAGGAGGUCGACUCCCCUCCUCGCAUGGAAAGACGCUCCAAGCAGAGGCAGGACCCGGCCAGUGUCCAUGGCAAAGCGACACCGUCGACUGAACAGACUUCCAAGCGCACAAGGACAUCUUCUCCUGCGCCGACUGAGAAAGCCCCGAAGCAACUCAAAGUCAUGCCGCCAAAACCCCGGAAGGACUUGCCCAAGAUCAAAGUGGACAUCUCUAUCGCUUCUGGGUAAUCACUGAGCUCGACCUCUUAUUUUUAGCGUGACCCGUUCUUUGGUCGAUUCACUUUCCUAUUUUAACCGAGUAAAUUCUGAAAUUUGCAGUGCUGCCGCUGGGACUUCAAUGUACCAAGAUGAUGAAGACGAGGAGAUGGAGGAUGCAGUCACCUCCCACGCGGGUAUAACUUUGGUAAUUUGGUCUUUACUUUAUUAGCCAUUUUGAUGGUUGACUGAACUCAUAUAACUGAUUGCUUUGCAGCUCCACCAAAUGUCAUUGAACUUCCAGAUGAUGACGAAGAUGUGGCACAGAGAGUCAUGGGGAGGAGGGGUAGGACUUAGAGAAAGAAGGCACCAGCUGGCGAGACGUCCCAGUAAACGCCGGUGAUGGAACCAGUGGUUCAGCAGUCCAGAGACGUGAACCAUGCUUCUGUUACUUUUCCUAUUCCAGUGUCAGCUGAACGCCCUUCCUCGUCGACUGCACAAGUCCCUGAUUCAUCUGUCCAGCACCACACCUCGGAUCCUCAAGCUGCCGUGACUGGACCCACGUCUCCACUGGUCAUCACCCAUCACGUCCCGGAAGACCAAGUAGGCGCUGCUUCAGAAGCAAUACGCCAAGCAGGCUUGAUGAUGGAGCGGAUGAAGACAAUGCACGAGACCAGCCAAGCCACCUAUGAUGCCAGUGCAGCCCUCCAAGCUAAUGUCCAGGUUAGUUGGUUUCCGACUGUUCUCCUAUCUUGACGCUUGUUCUGUUAGGAUAUGCUACCCGAAAAACUUGCAUUGUGCAUCCAUCUGUCAGUCUGUUCUUCACAUCUAUAUGCAUGCUGGGUGUUUCAAUUUAUGGUGAGUAGUCUUUCCAGUUGAGUCGACUAGGUUAUGUCAAUUGCAACUUUGGACUAGUGGGGGCACGCAGAGUGCACCCACUGGGUGUAGUCCCCGAGGCCGCUGUCGAAUGUAUGAUUUGGCAGGGGUCUUGAUGAAAAUAUCUUGUUGUUCAGUUCUUCCACUCGGUCUGGGCGGACCAUGUCAAGUGGAACCUGAACUAGUGGGGGCACGCUGAGUGCACCAACUGGGUGUAGUCCUCGAGACCGCGGUCGACUGCAGGCAGUCGGUUUGGGUCUGAGAAUAACUGUUGCCUCUUUUUUUACUCGGUUUGGGCGGACCAUGUCGAGUGGAACCUGGACCAGUGGGGGCACGCUAAGUGCACCCAGUGGGUGUAGUCCUCGGUACUACUGUUGAAUGUUUGAUUCUGCAGUAGUCUUAGAGUUCUUUUCACUCGGAAGCGAAUAAUCUUCGAUUCUGUCCGCUGAUGCAUCUUUUACUGACUUUAGAAAUCUUGUGAGCUCAUCUCCAAGUUUUCUGAAUUCAAGGAGAAGCAGAGACAGCUCAACCUUGAUCUGGAGUUGGCCAAGCAGAACUUGCAGAAGGCCAAAGACGAAACAGCUGGUAUGGAAGGUAACAACUUGUCGACUAUGUAAUUGGAUUGUUUCUCUAGUCGUCUCCUCAUUCUUCUCUCUGAACCGAGUGCUUGUUUGUUGUAUAUAUAUAUUUUUAGAGAAAAUGAGGCAGGCUCUGGCACAGAAGGAUCUUGAUCUUGCCGCAGCGCAGAAGGAGGCUCAGGAGAAAGCAACACUCGCCGAUAAGAAGCUAGCUUCAGUCGGGGCGCUCGAGGAAGACAACGCCAAUUUGAAGACAUCUCUUGCCAAGGCCAAUCGAUAAGUGACCCGUCUGAAGAAAGACAAGGUAGCUUUGAAUGAUAAGAUUGAAGGCAUUUCUCACAAGAGAAGUGACAUAGAGGGCUAUCUGGGAGCACUCACCAAGAAGAUAUUCCUUAUGCUUGAAGGUAUCUUUCCUUGUCCGACUGUUUUGCUGUCGUCGAGUCACCAUAAAUCGGCCGACUCAUUAUCUCUUUAUGGUUGCAGAAUUCUGUCAAAACAUUAAGGAAGAAACUGGGAGAAUCGAGACAAGCUUGGACCCCAUCAAUUCUCCUGUCAAUGAUGAAGCUGCUAUGAAUGUGCACCGACUGGAGUCCUGUCUUGCCAGCAUUACAGACUACCUCGCUCGCCUGAAGGUUGCGGUGUCGCGGAUCGACAUGGUGCUUUGGCCGAAGGAGACGCUCCAAAAUGACCUCGAAUCCUUGAUGACUCGACUCAAUGAGAUCCCUAGUCGAGUGUAGGAAUGGAAGAAGUCAUCUGCUCGAUGCGGUGCUGACGUAGUUCUGUCACUUGUUCAAGUCCAUUGUAAGGAGGCUAAGGAAGAAAAGCUAGCAGCGAUCAAGGUUGCCAACACAAAGAGACUCGACUUCCAGUCUUUCAUGGAGACCUUCAUUGCUGCCGCUACUCGAAUUGCAGAUGGAAUCAACCUAGAUGAGUUCGUUGAGCCUGCCAGUCCCCCUCCUGCGGAGUGAACAAACUUUUUAUGAUCUUAUUAAAUUUGCCUCGGUAUGCCGAGUGGUUUUGUAACCGUUAAAACUCCUUCGGGCCGGAUGCACGAGUACUUUAAUCUGCUAUCUGGAACCUCGUAGGAUUUAUCUAAACUUUGUUGGUUUUGAAUCUCUUGGCUCUGAGUGGAAUUUGAUUCUUCAGUCUGAAUUGCUACUGACUCUGUGGUGCAGCUCAGUAGAGUGGAUCAUGAACAAGGGCACUCGGUACUGUCCAUGACCUGCACCUUGUCGUCCUUGCGGAUUAGGAUGGAAUAGACAUUGUAUUUCUGCCGCAGCUCUGAGGAUAAGGUCGCAGUUGACCUGCACCUCGUCGUCCUUGUGGAUCAGGAUGGAGCGGACAUUGUAUUUGUGCCGCAUCUCUGAGCGUGUUUUUAAACUUAGGCGAGUGCGGGACUGCAGCUAAGCCUCCGAGUGGGAGGAUUUCUCUCCACUCGGUAGUUUUUUUUAAAACUUAGACGAGUGCGGGACUGUAGCUAAUCCCCCGAGUGGGAGGAUUGCUCUCCACUCGGUAGGAUAUUUUUAAACUUAGACAAGUACAGGACUGCAGCUAAGCCCCCGAGUGGGAGGAUUGCUCUCCACUCGGUAGGAUUUUUUCAAACUUAGGCGAGUGCGGGACUACAGCUAAGCCCCCGAGUGGGAGGAUUGCUCUCCACUCAGUAGGAUUUUUUAAACUUAGGCGAAUCGGAUUCGCAGCUAAGCCCCCGAGUGAGAGGCUUGCUCUCCACUCGGUAGGAUUUUUGAAACUUAGGCGAAUCGGAUUCGUAGCUAAGUCAUCCACUGGGGGAUUUCGGACAGAUGUAAAAGUAAUAACAAUCAUCUAGGAGAUUGUAAAACCACGUUGUCGGUGUCAAAACCGGCGGAUCUCGGGUAGGGGGUCCUGAACUGUGCGUCUAAGGCGGAUGGUAACAGGAGGCAGGGGACACGAUGUUUACCCAGGUUUGGGCCCUCUUGAUGGAGGUAAUACCCUACGUCCUGCUUGAUUGUUCUUGAUGAUAUGAGUAUUACAAGAGUUGAUGUACCACGAGAUCGUAGAGGCUAAACCCUAGAAGCUAGCCUAUGGUAUGAUUGUAUGUUGUCCUACGGACUAAACCCUCCGGUUUAUAUAGACACCGGAGGGGGCUAGGGUUACACAGAGUCGGUUACAAGGGAGGAGAUCUACAUAUCCGUAUUUCCUAGCUUGCCUUCCAUGCCAAGGAGAGUCCCAUCCGGACACGGGAUGAAGUCUUCAAUCUUGUAUCUUCAUCGUCUAAUAGUCCGGCUGUCCGGAGACCCCCUAAUCCAGGACUCCCUCAGUAGCCCCUGAACCAGGAUUCAAUGACGAUGAGUCCGGUGCGCAGUAUUGUCUUCGGCAUUGCAAGGCGGGUUCCUCCUCCGAAUACUCCAUGGAAGAUUUUGAACACAAGGAUAGUGUCCGGUUCUGCAAAACAAGUUCCACAUACCACCGCAGAGAGAAUAAUAUUUCCACAAAUCUAAUCUGCUGACACGUUUUGACUACAUGACAUCACGCCAUGGCCCGGUCAUUAUUUGAACCGUUUUUCUCAAAUAGCACCGCACAUAUCGCGAGGCGGUUUUCUUGACAUGUCUUGUCAAAGAAGAGAUCGUGUUCCCCUCAUUAUGGGAUUCUCAUCGAUACGGACGUGGGUAACCCAACUGCGCCAUCAAUUACGGCUCUUGGGGAAUAAGCGCUUUUACCAGGCAAGUGGGGAGGCGCAUUGCCUCCUCCGCCCUUAUAAAGGGACGAAGAUUCACUCUUUUCACCCAUGCCUUCUUCCUCCUUGCUUACCCAUUCCCGCACACUCGAGCUCUAGCGCCCAAGCUCACGUUCUUCUUCUCAAACCACUCCAAGCAUGCCCGGAGCAGGAGGCAAGUGGAUGGUCGAAGGAGAACAUCAAAAAGUUACGGGAAGCCGGAUAUCUAGCCACGGAUAUCGCGCACCGACUGCCAGAUGCGGAGCAGAUCAUCCCAACGCCCGAACCCCAUGAGAGGGUAGUUUUUCUUACCCACUUUGUCCGUGGAUUGGGAUUUCCCUCCACCCAUUUGUCCGCGGGCUCAUGUUCUACUACGGGCUGGAUUUUCAUGAUCUGGCCCCCAAUUUCAUCCUCAACAUCUCGGGGUUUAUCGUCGUGUGCAAGGCCUUCCUCCGCAUCAAGCCCCAUUUCAGCCUGUGGCUGAGGACCUUCAAUGUCAAACCGAAGGUAGUGGUCGAACAGCAAGCAGAGUGCGGAGGCGCCAUGGUGGCAAGGUGCCUAACGUCACUUGGCUUGAAGGCUCCUAUGUGGAGACCAUAAAGGGGUGGCAAUCGGGGUGGUUCUACAUCACCGAACCACGCGACACCAACUGGGUGGCGGCCACCGAAUUCCGAUCCGGAAUCCCCACACGGCUCACCUCCUGGAAAGAGAAGGGCCUGUCCUGGGGUUCCUCGGUAGAGCUGAACGGACUCUAGACCUGCAUCAAGAACAUGAUGAGCAAGAAAAUUAAGCUUGUCAACGUGGUCCAGGUCAUGCUCUUCCGUCGGAUUCUCCCGUGUCAACAAUGGGUAUUCAACUUGUGGGAGUUUGACCCGGCCAAGCACCAGACGCUACGAGAGCUCUAUGGCAUGACGCAUGAGGACGUCUGGAGGGUCCUGUUUAAGGGCGCCGAGGUACCUCCUUCCCUCACCGAGGACCGCGGACUCAGCGCAAAGCGCCGCGCCAAUCCGGUGAGUUUUUAUAUUUCACAGGGUAUCUAUUUGCCCCAGUUUAAUCAUGUGCGUGAUCUAAGCCUUCCAUGCCUUUAACAGGACUGGGUGAAGACAGCGGAGCAGAUCGAUUGCCCCGCCCCCCUGUUGGAAGAUCCUGCAGAUGCUCUCCUGACAGAGAUGCUGGUUCCAGCACCUUACGAGGUGCCGGUGAAGAAGGCCAAGAAGAAGGCCGCGGGGACCCGAAAGGGUCUCCAGCGCAAGGAUGUAUCGGACUCAUCGUCCGAUAACUCUGACGCGCCCUCCUCCCACGAAAACGAGGAGGAAGAGGAAAGUUCUCUCCCCCCUAGCCGGGGGAGACAAGAAAAGGAAGGCCGGCCCAACUGGGGAGGCCGAAGGGUCCAAGAAGGGCAAGACCCUCCCUCCGGACUGCUCCACGACGGCCGUGUACAACGACGACGAGUGGCUACCCAGGGUCAAGCCCGUGGAGAAGUUGUAAGUAUCUAGACACCAUAGUAAUUCAUGGUAUGUUUUACUGCACUGCUUCUUCUCAUGCCGAAUAUGAUUAUGCAGUCCGUCCCGAGCUCAUCUUGAUGUAACUUCAUCGAGCGGUUCGUUGGACUCGUUGGAUAUGAACAACAAUUCUCUUCCGACCACCUCAACUCCUUGCCCUGCGGACAACAUGGAGGUGUUGUCUCAACAGGCCGGUCCAAGGGGAGGCAGUCCUGGGGGUGCCUCGAGGCGACCUUCCAGACCCUGGGCGCAAAGGGAUCCGGACUCCCAUGGGCUCCAGGUUCGGCCCCCAGCCGAACACUGCACCGGAAUGUUCGGUGGUUCCGGACUCUGGCGGGCGACCCCCCGUUAAGGGGGGCAAGCCGCCUGUGCCGGUGUCCUCUGUCUAUCCAGAGGCACCGGACAGCUUGCUGGAAGCGCUUCGCGGCGCUUCCAUCGACGAAGAGCACCGUACUAUCAUGAGUGCGGUGAUCGAGAAAGUUCGGUCCGCCAAAAACGGACUGACUAAAGCUUGCGCCAGCCUCCUAACAGGCUUCGAGGUAAGCAAUCAAAAUAUAAGAAAAUAUUACCGCAUAGAUAGUAGCCCCUGAUGCUCUGUUCGGCGUUCGAGUAGAAAGACCGAAUAGAGGAUCAAAUGAUGACUCAGGAGUCUAAUCAGAAUAUAUCUAUGUGUAUGUGCAGGCUUCACUGCUGGCCAAUGCUGCACGUAUUGCGGAGGUCUCUGUGCUGAAGCAGGACCUGGAGCGGUCCGAGAACGAGCUUGGCCUUACCAAGAGGCAUCUCGAGGAUAUAAAAUAAAAGAAAUUUGGGUGUAAAGUAAUAGGAUCAUCAUGAAUUUUCCAGGGCCACGACCGAAGUGGCAACCCUAAGGAAGGUGCUCUCCGAGGCCAAAGACAAAGCGGCAAGGAGCGCAUUGAACGAGAGAAGCAUGAAGCCCGGGUAGGCGAGGUGCAGCAAGAGCUCGAGGCUCUCGCCAAAAAGCAUGAGUCCUUGGAGCUUGACUCUAAGACACGAGAGUCCGAGCUCGUGCAGGCGCUUGAAAGCGUCCGGAGCGCCAAGGCCGAAGCACAUAAGGCCCUCUAGGAGAUUGAUGUGGUGAAGAAGAUAGCAGCGGGUAAGGCAUUCAUUAUGCAAAGCAAGCACGUGAAGGGGACUUUCCUUUUUCUUACCCGAAUUCGGAGCUCUCCAGGAGCGUUUGCAAAUCUUCCCCGCAGUGUACUCGAUGCCGCGGAGUUUUACUGAGCUGGGGAGGGGAGCUCGACGGAGAAGUUGUUCUGGUCUCAGUAUACUAGGACCGAACACCCCGUGCCCUUGAGCGACCAGCUGAAGCAGUUGGUCGAGCUUCACAAGGCGGCCGAACAAGCCAUGAGGGGCUUUAUAGUCCGGAUGUGGCCUGGUGAGCCCCUGUCCGGCAGCUACUUCGGUCUGGUAAGGUGGCUCGUCGAUGCCUACCCAUGGCUUGAAGUCAUAAAGCGGUCCGUUUGCAUCGAGGGUGCGCGCAGGGCUUUUGCCCGGGCAAAGGUGCACUGGGUGAAGCUGGACGCCGUGAAGCUAGUGAAGGAGGGGCCGCCGGAGGGCAAGGAGCAUCGCUGCCCCGAGAUGUACUAUGAGAGUGUCCUGAAGGGUCCCCGCCUUGUGGCGGAUGACUGUGCCAAGGAUGUAAUUUUUGAAUGAACAUGCUCAUGUGAUCCUGUAAUAUGAAACGAGUUCAUUUGCGCCAUGCGACGCUUUUUUAAUUUAAAAUAUUACCUUAUGUGCGUCCGUUUGUAAAAUCUGAGAGUUGGCCAGUCGCCGGCUUCUGCCCCAAUGUAACUAGUACUGGGGUGUUCGGGAUAAACCUGAGCACUCUUUACCCCGAUUUUGGAUCCUUCAAGGGAGGUGUUCAGCGCCACGAACUAGGGAAUCAGACUGUAAUGCUUUAUCACUCUCACUUAGCCAUAGAAGUCUACAAUUUUAAAUUUUGGCGAAGCCCCUGGUAUUUGGAAGGCCGAAUUUGGGGCGCUAUACAUGUCUAAGCCGGGCAAGGCCGACUCCUCGCCCGAAGCGGAAAAAGUCUUUAAGGACUUGAGACCUCUCGAACAGCAACAAGUCUCUCGCCUUAUCAUGACUGUCAGUUUUCGGCUUUCUCUACUGAGGUGCUCGUCCGGAAGAAUCGGGACACAAUCGCAGUAGUUCUCCCACCGCUACCUUAGCUGAUAUAGCGGAACAUAAGGUACCAAAGCAUGGGAGCCGGGCAAACCCAACAUUUGACCAAAGACAUGAUUCCGAGCUGAUCCAUAUAAUGCUAUAAGUUCGGGGUGUCGCACUGUCAAAAGUGUUCGGACUUCUUGCGCCGUAUUAUGGGGUAAACGAAAGCCCCUGGCAUACUGACUGUACCGAACGUGCGGGUGCAGAUUGUCGUAAAUGGACAUAAAGAAAAAAUGGAAUGAAUAAUGCAAUAAUAGACUAAUGCUAUGCAUUGUUAUUAAAUAAUACGUCGAAGUGUACUGGUAUAGGUAGUGCAAUAAGCAUAAAGUAGGACUAUUCAAAAUAUCCUAUCCAAGGGCAAGCUGCGUAUGGAUAGUAGAAAGCGGGUAUUAUUAUUAGAGACCACCUGGGGGUUCCCGUGUACUUCUUAGCUUCUUGCCGCCUUGGUUGUUCCUUCCCGUAAUGUGUCCAGCAAUCAUACUGCCGGAAAGGGCUUCCAAAGAGUUAGGCCUUGAAAUAGAAAAGAAGUAAUAAAGGUAUACAGCCCCUAGUGCGGUUAAGCCGCAUUAUGGGACGUGCCUUGAUCGUGCCCCUGCCUAUGUCCAUGGUAUUUUUAGUGCGUAAUCAUGUAUGUGCGGCACGGAUUUCGUCGCUUGACUGGUACUGGGACAGGGGCCGAAUUGCUAGGCGAGCUCUGAACGUGCCAGGCGAUCCUGUUGCAGUUUACUCCGGACACGCUUGAAGGUGUUUGGGGGCUGUAUCGCCCAAUUAGUGGUUUUCCUUAAAAGGCUGCUUUGUGCUUCUGCUGCGAGGGCCGCAGUGUGCUCAUCCGUGCGGAGUGAGCGUUCUGUUUUUCCAUUCACUGUUAUGACCCCUCGAGGUCCUGGCAUCUUGAGCUUGAGGUAUGCGUAAUGCGGUACUGCAUUGAAUUUUGCAAAUGCAGUUCGUCCGAGCAGUGCAUGAUAGCCACUGCGAAACGGGACAAUGUCGAAGAUUAACUCCUCGCUUCGGAAGUUGUCCGGUGAUCCGAAGACUACUUCCAGUGUGAUUGAGCCCGUGCAAUGGGCCUCUACACCUGGGAUGACGCCCUUAAAGGUGGUUUUGGUGGGUUUGAUCCUCAAGGGAUCGAUACCCUUUUUUCGCACUAUAUCCUGAUAGAGCAGGUUCAGGCUGCUGCCGCCGUCCAUAAGGACUCGAGUGAGAUGAAAUCCAUCGAUGAUGUGGUCUAGGACCAGUGCAGCGGAUCCGCCAUGACGGAUGCUAGUGGGGUGAUCCCUGUGAUCAAAGGUGAUCGGGCAAGAGGACCAUGGGUUGAACUUUGGGGUGACGGGCUCCAUCGCAUAGACGUCCCUUAGUGGACGCUUCUGCUCCCUCUUGGGAAUGUGGGUUGCGUAUAUCAUGUUCACCAUCUUCACUUGUGGGGGGAACCAUUUCUGUCCUCCCGUGUUCGGCGGCCGGGGCUCUUCCUCGUCAUCACUAUGCAGCCCCUUGUCCUUGUUCUCGACAUUUAACUUGCCGGCCUGCUUGAACACCCAGCAUUCUCUGUUGGUGUGAUUGGCUGGCUUGUCGGGGGUGCCGUGGAUUUGACACGAGCGAUCCAGUAUGCGAUCCAAACUGGAUGGAGCCGGAGUACUUCUUUUAAAUGGCUUUUUCCGCUGACCAAAUCUAGAGCCUAUGAAUCCGGCAUUGACUGCCGUAUCCUCAGUGUUAUCGCCGUUAUUGCAACGCUUUGGUCUGUUACAAUGUUGUUUGCCGUUGGCAUCUUUGGUAUCCGAAGUGCCCGGAUUCCUCGAUGUGUUAUUACUACGAGCCAGCCAGCUAUCCUCGCCCGCGUAGAAGCGUGUCAUGAGUGUCGUGAGGGCUGCCAUAGACUUCGGCUUCUCUUGGCCAAGGUGCCGGGCAAGCCACUCAUCGUAGAUGUUAUGCUUGAAUGCCGCUAAGGCCUCUGCAUCCGGACAGUCGACAAUUUGGUUUUUCUUAGUCAGGAAUCGUGUCCAGAAUUGUCUGGCUGAUUCCCUUGGCUGCUGAGUUAUAUGGCUGAAGUCACCAGCAUCCGGUGGUCGCACAUAAGUGCCCUGGAUGUUGUCAAGGAAUGCGUCUUCCAGAUCCUCCCAACUGUCGACGGAGUCUGCUAGCAAGCUAUUUAGCCAAUGCCGAGCUGGUCCUUUGAGUUUUAGUGGGAGGUAUUUGAUGGCAUGUAGAUCGACACCGCGAGCCAUGUGGAUGUGAAGGAGGAAAUCCUCAAUCCAUACAGCGGGGUCUGUUUACCAUCAUAUGAUUCGAUAUUUAUGGGUUUGAAACCCUCCGGGAAUUCAUGAUCCAUAACUUCAUGAGUGAAGCAUAGGGGGUGUGCGGCGCCUCUGUGCCAGGCUAUAUCCCGACGCAGUUCAUGUGAGUCUUGUCUGCUGUAUUCGGCCCGGCCGGAUUUGCUUUUGGUGUAUCCGACACGACGAUCAUCGUCCCGUGUUGGCGCGCGUGCCCGUGACCCAUAUAUUGACCUUGCAAUUUUUUCCUUACUGUCCAAUACGUAUCGCAGGUCCCCUGUGUUGCCCCGGGCCUUAGUAUUUUUGAUUGAGUGGCGGCAGGGUGCAGGCUGAACUUCAGGCUGAAAUGCCUCUCUGGCUCGACCACAUAGUGGCCGGUUAGCCGCAUUGUACUCUGGUGAAUGAGGUUUCAAUUCUUCCUCCUCGAGGUGAGGUAGCAACCUACGUUUUGGGUAACUCUUGGAGGGGCGCUCGAGUUCGUACUCCUCGGCCGCAAGGACUUCGGUCCAUCUGUUUGCUAGCAAGUCUUGAUCAGCUUGAAGCUGUUGCUGCUUUUUCUUCAGGCUAUUUGCCGUGGCCAUAAGCCGGCGCUUGAAGCGCUCUUGCGCGACGGGGUCCUCAGGCACGAUAAAUUCUUUGUCGCCGAGGCUCGCCUCGUCUUCGGAGAGAGGCAUGUAAUUGUCCUCCUCCGGUUCUCCAUCUGCUGCCUGCUCUAUGUAGGAGAUAUGCCCUAGAGGCAAUAAUAAAUGAUAUUAUUUAUCUCCGAGUUCAUAACUAUGUUUAUGUUCUAUACUAUAAAUGCUAUGGUUCUCGAGUCUGCAAUAACCACGAGGCUCGGAGGAAGACUCAUAUGCACGUGUGGAAUAAUAAACGGUAAAAUGUAUUCCUAGUCUGGCCUCUAAGACUAGCUCAAGUGUUGCAUGAUGGUUCUGUUUUCCUGAUCAUGGGCAUGUCUAUGCCAGCAACCUUGAGGGCACAAUGUUAAGAGAACAUUUGUGUUGAAUCGACCCGGAUUGAUGUUAUGCUAAGAGAUUCAUUCGUCACAAGUUAAUGGUACAUAACACAGAGAUGGUUAACGUUUGCAUGAUUCCUUAGACCGUGAGAGUAUCGAGUUUCUUCAUGCUUGCUUCAUGAACUUUGGGGUUUGUUAAACGUCAUCCGUAAAUGGGUGGCUAUUACGGCGGCUUACGAGUUCAUGGAAAAGUGUGUCAAGUAACUUGAUAGCUCAAUAUUGGGAUUUGCUCCUCCGACGAUGGAGAUAUAUUCUCGGGCCCUCUCGGUAUUACGGUAUCCAUCAUCGUCUGGCCAGACACAGUGUGAUUUGAUCACUAGGAUGCCGGAACACGGAAACUAGAAAAGAGAACAAAACGGGUAACGAGGUAACUUGCAUGGUGGACAAAUUGUUUGUCCACGGGGAUGCAAUAAAUCUCACCUCGGGUGUUUGUGACAUAUCGCGAAGCAAUAGGAAUAGCUCACUGCAACUGGAGGUUCACUCGAAUAUUUAUUCGUGUGGGUAUAGGGGUCAAUAUGGGUAUCCACGGCUCCGAUGUUGAUCAUUGAUCGGAAGGGGUUCCGGGUCAUGUCUAUACUUCACCGAACCUAUAGGGUCACACGCUUAAGGGUCAUCUAUCUGCUGAAUACUAGACAAGGAGUCUGAGAGAAAAUCACCGGAAAAGUUUCGGACAGCGGAAAAGGUUCCGCAGAGAGAGGUCAUCGGAUGAGUUCCGAUGAAACUGAAAAGUUGUUUCAGGGGAUACCAUUAAGUCAAAUUGGUUUCCGCACAUGCCUGAUAAUUCUUGGAGGGUGCCAGAAUCAUGCUGGAAGCUUUCUGGAAUUUUCCGGGAUAAUAACUGGAUAUGCUCCGGAGCUGCCAGAACCACUUCAGAUGCUUUUCGCAGAUGAAAAUCACUAAACCGGAAUUGUUUCGGAACGCGUUGAAAAUCAUUUUGGUGGGUACUGGAAAUGUUCUAAGCCCACAUAAAUAUUUUCAGUUCGAACGGACGCUGAAAAAUGUCAUCGCGAAUAGUGAAAGUACUUUUUGGGAUAUUUAUGGAAAGCCACCUUUUGGGGCUUUUCCCAAAAGGCUUCUAGAAGGACUUCGGGAUCAAGGAACCCCCUUUGGGGGGCCCCCAUGAAGGUGGGACGUUGGAGGGUGCAGCUCCUCCAUGGGGCUCCACUUGUCAUCCCUUUAUGCCUUUUAUACCCUUUGUGUGUGACAUAAAGUGGGGGCACUUUUGGUAUUUCAGAAUACCCAUCCUACCCCUUGGUUUCCCUAUAAAUAGGAGGUGAGGGGGCUGCCCAAACCUCAUCCAUUCUCACAUACAAGUGCCAUGCAAUGAUCUGGCUUGUUCUCUCCCUCCCACGAAAAGAGUUUCGUAGAGCCGUAAGGCUAUCUGGGUUCCGGCAGGAACUAGUUCUGGACAGCGAAGCCCUGCCGGAUAGAUGACACCGUAUGUGUGCAACUCUGUAGAGAGAUCGUAGUUUCAGUCUUAGUUCAUGAGUGCCUCCUGAAGGGCUGUCUGUGUGACCGUCCGAGUUUUGAAGGUCCUCCCGAAGGGCUGUCCGAGUGACCGUUCGAGUUUCGAAAGUCCUCCCGAAGGGCUGUCCGCGACACCGUCUGGGGGGGGGGGGGCUGUUCGACCGCCUCCCGGAGGGCUGUCUGAGGAGCAGAUGAGGGUAUACAUCCUCGCAGUUGGGAGGUUGUAAAUCCUAGCUGCGAGGAUCUGCACCGCCGAUCGUCAUCGACUCUACUUCCCGCUGCGCUACGAGUCGGUAACGAAAGAGAUCAAACCAUGUAUGCAGUCUCCAUAGUGGUCCUGGGCUGGUGCGUAGGUCAGAAAUUUUUGUUUUCUGCCGCGUUCCCCUACAGUGGCAUCAUGAGCCGUGCUAUGCGUAGAUGCAGGUUCCGAUCUAGAAUACAUGGAGAUGUAUGGGCAUUGCAUAAUAUAAUUAGGUAGUAGAUGAGAUCUAUUGCUGAAAAUUAUUUAUAAUGGUGACAGAUGAAUUCUGUUACCCAACGUUCUUGUUGCUUCCCUAGAAUUUGCGUUUGCUCAAUCUCAAGAUAGCAUGGUGGAAUUUGACAAAGUUCUGGCAAUCCGUGAUCCUUAUUGAUCAUGGAAGUGCUAUCAAUUCUUCGGGUUCUGCCGUAGUCAAAAGAAAGAUGAAAUUCGCAGAUGUAAGGGCAUUGCAGAUAUGAUCUGCACGGGGGUCAUGCGUAUGACGAAGUUUAGUAUGGGGCUUGAGAUUUAAUUAUCUCGUGUUUCGUACACCCCGAGAUGUUAAUCUAGCAACUUGAAUAAUCAUACUUGAUGAUAAAACGUUGGUAGCUGCGGUUUAAGUCAAAACCUUAGAAGCCACAUAAAAUAAAAUUUUUCAUAAACCGAUUAGAGGCGUCUAACUUGGUUUUGCAGGAUGUGCAUGUGAUGUGGUAUAGCAAUGCUCAUAUUCAAUUUGAUUAUGUAUGAGAUGACUAUAUGAUGUAAUUAACAUGACCUGCGUGUCAUGAUUCGGCAUGAUGGCUGGAGCCAUAUAAUUGUCACUUUAAUGACCUGCGUGUCAACCUUAAGUAAUGCACUUAUUUUAUUAGCUAUAUAGAUAGCAAUAUUAUCUGGUGCAUCAACAGGGUGGUGGCAAUCUUCGUGAAGGUGAACACCGACGCGAAUGCCGAAGAGGAAGAAAUGAAACACUUCUCCGUCAGAAAGGGCUAUACCAUAUCAUGCUAUUAUGAAUUGCCUGAGAUGUUUAUCCCUUAUGAUGCACCCUUCUUGAUUGCGCGGUAGUCGCUUUUUUAGGGUGAUCUCUCACUUAAAAUAUCAAAGUAGUUAGUGUUCACCCAAGUGUAGCACCAUCUGAAAUUCGUAUCUUUUCGGGGUGCGCCAUGUACACAUGAGCAUGAACGAAUCGAGAGGAAUGAGGCGGGUGAGGUCAGACCUCGCAGCAAGAUCACUUGGUUGUCUUUGACGUUCAGGCAGGAGAGUCCUGAGCUCGGAACACGCCCAUUGAAAGAUGAACAAGAAUCACAUAGAGAUGUGAUCGGCAAGUUGGCCUACCGAUUGAAAUUCGUGUCAUCAGUGAUGAACCCGUCAAUGGCAUCGAAUAGAAAUAUGGAUCUUGAAUCACUCUAAAUCAAUUAUGAGAGAUAUUGAUUUGAGUGGGGGCGCACUGUUGAAUUAACAUGUUUAAUUCUCAGUGCAAUUAAUUAUGAACACUGUCUAAGUGUUUCUUGCAAAAUAGUUGUAGAAUAAUGGCUUGCGUUUCCACCUUCCCUGUUAAAAUUGAAUAGCUGUUAAAUAUCUGGUUAAAACUUUAUGUUUGGUAACGUAAUGUGAGGAUUGUCCUCAAAAGUGCCGAGAAGGAUUUUGUCCUAUCGCAUGCUUUCCAUAUCCUCCCGCUAAUGCUAUGGAUCAUGUGACUCUCGUCCUUCGAUCCAAAAGCUAGAAUUGUGUUACGGUCAAGUGGAAUAUGUUUGCUUCCAUGAAACCCAAACUUCGAAAGUUGGGAUAGUUAUAUGAUAUUCAUGGAACUAAAAAUUAUUUUCAGAUACAAACAAAGCAAUGUUUGUUUGCAAGUAUUAGUAAAAGUGUUUACUAUGCAUUUGACUGUUGGGAAAGGGAUCCAGAAGAACGCCUGUCAUAUAAAGAAAGGUGAAUAAAACAACAACUUAAAGAGAAAGGAUGUGUCCAAAGGGUGUUAGUAUGACUUACACGCCUAGGAAGUCCGGGGCUAACGCCACUCUUAAGUUGGGUGCUUCUUUUGCGAGUAGGAGAAAUACUAAAAGUUAAACAAUUAGAAGUAUAAAGGCAAAAGAGAGAUGACUGGAAUAUCCAUCUCAUGUAUGAAUGUCAUACAAGUUUUUGAUGUAUAGUAGGCUGGUCAAAGAUAUAGUUCUUGGGAAUUAUGGUUAAACAUGUUAAUCACUAAUUCUUGGGUAUUGUGAUUUAAUCACAAAGAUACCCGCUCGAUUGCAUUCUGUUGCGAAUCAAUGUAAGAGCUACUAUGGCCUAAAGACUAGCCAGAAAUGAGGUUAAUGUAUACACAGGGAACAUACUAAAUGUUACUAUACCUUCCAUCGGUGUAUUGUUGUCUGUAUUUAUUUUCAUAAUUCAUAUAGAGUUUUACAAACUCUAGCCCAUUGCAUAAGGUAUCUUGCAAGAAGGUUGUUCAUAAGAGAACCUUUUAUGUUCGAUGUUAUGAAUAACACAAGGGCCAUACUUUCAUUAUGAAUGAGAUGUAUGUUAUGAAUAUUGAUAAUAAUACAAUACCUCUAGGUUUACUUUCAUAAUUCAUUUUAGAGUUUCUUACACUCCAGCCCAUUGCAUAAUGUUUAUUGCAAAAGACUUGUUCAUAAAAACAACAAUUGUUGUUAAGUAUUAUGAAUAACAUGAAGGGCCAUGCUUCCAUCCAAGAUGGGAUGUAUGUUAUGAAUAUUGAUGGUAAUAUGAUACAUCCAUAACACUGACGCUAAAUGUCGCAAGACUAAAAGAAUACCACACAAGUGUGGCACUACAUUUGGUCACAUUGGAGAAACCCGCAUGGAAAAUUCCAUUAUGAUGGAUUUUGAAGUCUUUUUGAUUUUGAAUCAUCUGACAUUUGCAACUUUCCUCCGAAAAGUGAAGUGACUGAAAUACCGUUCACAGGCCAUAAGGAAUGAGCAACAAACUUAUUGGUGAUCAUACAUUUUGAUGUGUGUAGUUAAAUAAAUGUUGUUGCAAGUAGUGGAUUUAUAUAUCUUCAGACAUGACUCAAGUAGAUAUAUGGAUAUUUGCUUGAUGAGACGUAAGUCUGGAUCUUUUGAAAUCAUUCGAAAGGUUUUCAAAAAUGAAGUAGAAGUUAUUGUAACAAGGAAAUUAUGUUUCUACAAUUUGAUUGCAGAAAGGAAUAUCUGAGUUACAAGUUUAGCGAAUGUCUGAUGAGUUGUGAAAAGAGUUUCAUAACUUACACCUUCCGGAACACCACUAUGAGUGGAAUGUCUGUGAAGAUGUAAUCAAACCAUUUAUGACAUGGUAAGGUCAAAGAUGACAUAAAUAAAUUUGCCAUUAUCCCUUUUAAAGUGAUGCUUUAGAGACUGCGGCUUUUACACUGAAAAGAGCUACAUCGGGUCUGUUGAAAUGAAGCCAUGGUAUGGUACGCCCAACCAUGUAAUAUCUUUUCUUAACAUUUGGAAUAUGGGGCUUGUGUAAAAGGUUACAAACCUAUUCUAAAUCAGACAAGUGCUACUUUGUAGGUUAUACCAAAAUGUUGGGUAUUCCUCCCUCACUAUACCGAGGCAAAUAGUUUUGCCGCGAAAUGGUGUACUUUUAAAGAGAAUGGUUCUUUCAAAAAGGUGAGUGGGAGAAUAGUGCAACUCGACGAGAUAAAUAGUAUCUUCGUCAUCAGAUCAAAGGAAAGAGACAUUGGAAGUAAUUCCAGAGUUUCCUACUGCGACUGAUAUGGAAGUCUCUACAAUAAAAUGUAUGAACUUCGGUCGAACUUGCAGCUGAACCACGUAGGCAAGGCUCGUGCAAACCUCUCAGGUGCGCAAACGAGAUAUUGUUGUUAGACAACAUUAUACCUACGAUACACAAGGAAGCGUUGAUGGGCCCUGACUCUAGAAUUGGCUAAAUGCCAAUACAACCCAAGUUAGUUUCCCUAUAAGUGAUUCAAGAUUAAAACCUUGAUACACCUUUCAGAAGACUUAGAGUCUAACGAAUAUUGAUGGAACUUAAAACUGAUACGGAUAAAAAUGUUUUAUCCAUAAAGCUCGACUUGUUGAAAUAACAAGUUCAAGAGUUGACUACGAUGAGGUUGUUUUCAUCGUAGCGAUGCUUAAAGUUGGUUCGGGUUGAACUAGCAAUUAAUACAUAUUUCAAUCAUGAGAUCUGAAACAUGGAUGACAAUAGUAUUUCCAUCUGAUGGAAAUGCAACCAAGGACUUGCAUGUGUUACAGUCCAAGGCAUUUUGUCUAUCCAGAGGAUGCUAGUAAGGGUGCAAACUUCAGAGUUCCAGCGAUGGACAGAAGAGAGCAAAAUGGAGUUGGAAUCUUCAUGCUUUGAUGAAAUGGUCAAAGGGGUUUGACUUCAUCAAUGGGUAACGAAGAUGCUUGUAAUUCUAGAAAGUAAGUGGGAGCGUAAUAAUUUUUCUAAAAACCUUGUGUGCUUGACACAUUGUUAAUUGGAAAUAAAUUUCUUGACAGGAAUUAGGACUUCAUUUGAAAAUAGUUUUUUGAUGAAGUGCUUAGGCUAAAUAGCCUCAAUAUUAGACAUAAUGAUCUAUGGAGAUAGAUUUACCUAAUAGGGCUAAGCAAUGAAUACAUAUUGACAAGGUGCUAAAACCUUUUAGCAUUUAAAACCGCCAAGGAGUGAUUCUUGCCGGAGUCACAUGGAAGAGUUUUUUGCAAGACUCGGUGUCCCAAAACACUAAUGAGCAAAAUACAUGAUGCAGAUUCCACACACUUUUGUGUUUGGAUUAAUCAUGUAUUCCAUGGUAUGUAAAACAACCAGAUAUGUCUGAUACUCCCAAGGUGUUGCGAGAAUGGAUACUAAAGUGAUCAAAGUACUGAUCGUUGGACAAUAGUGAAAGAUGUCAUUGAGUACUAGAGUAAGUACUGAUGAUAUGUUUUCUCACAAGCGGAGAUCAUGAAGAGUUCGUUGUAAAAUGUUACAUCGAAAUAGUCUUCAUCUUUUCUCCAUGCGAUUUUCGAUUUAAAUUGAGGGUUUUGUGUAACACAAUAUGGUGGUGCAGUUAGUUGGAAAUUGUUCCAAACAAGUUACUGUGGCGAAUUCUAUAACAGAGGCGGAGUAUGUUGCCGCUUUAGAAGCGACAAAGACAAAGAUGUUGAAUCAUAUAGUUCAUUCAUGAACUUAGUAUGGUUCCAAGAAGGCUUUGGUCAAUGGGACACUAUUGCAGAUAGUUGCUCCAUAACUCAGUCUGAGGAAUCAGGUUUCGACCAAUGAUUCACAUAUAUACAAAGCCAAGUCCGCACAAAAUAUGAAUUUUGUGAAAGCGUGAAAACGCGAGGAUAUGCAGAGAUACACAUGGAGCUGAAGUUGUCAGAUCCGAUGGACAUCAGGCUAUACCACAUGCGAAGCAUUUUUUACACCGGUAUGCCAUAGGUGUAAAGUGCAUUUGCAUUAACUAGAUUAUUGACUCUAGUGCAAGUGGGAGUCUGUAGGAGAUAUGCCCUAGAGGCAAUAAUAAAUGAUAUUAUUUAUCUCCGAGUUCAUAAUUAUGUUUAUGUUCUAUGCUAUAACUGCUAUGGUUCUCGAGUCUGCAAUAACCACGAGGCUCGGAGGAAGACUCAUAUGCACAUGUGGAAUAAUAAACGGUAAAAUGUAUUCCUAGUUUGGCCUCUAAGACUAGCUCAAGUGUUGCAUGAUGGUUCUGUUUUCCUGAUCAUGGGCAUGUCUAUGCCAGCAACCUUGAGGGCACAAUGUUAAGAGAACAUUUGUGUUGAAUCGACCCGGAUUGAUGUUAUGCUAAGAGAUUCAUUCGUCACAAGUUAAUGGUACAUAACACAGAGAUGGUUAACGUUUGCAUGAUUCCUUAGACCAUGAGAGUAUCGAGUUUCUUCAUUCUUGCUUCAUGAACUUUGGGGUUUGUUAAACGUCAUCCGUAAAUGGGUGGCUAUUACGGCGGCUUACGGGUUCAUGGAAAAGUGUGUCAAGUAACUUGAUAGCUCAAGAUUGGGAUUUGCUCCUCCGACGAUGGAGAGAUAUUCUCGGGCCCUCUCGGUAUUACAGUAUCCAUCAUCGUCUGGCCAGACACAGUGUGAUUUGAUCACUGGGAUGCCGGAACACGGAAAUGAGAAAAGAGAACAAAACCGGUAACGAGGUAACUUGCAUGGUGGACAAAUUGUUUGUCCAUGGGGAUGCAAUAAAUCUCACCUCGGGUGUUUGUGACAUAUCGCGAAGCAACAGGAAUAGCUCACUGCAACUGGAGGAUCACUCGAAUAUUUAUUCGUGUGUGUAUAGGGGUCAAUAUGGGUGUCCACGGCUCCGAUGUUGAUCAUUGAUCGGAAGGGGUUCUGGGUCAUGUCUAUACUUCACCGAACCUAUAGGGUCACACGCUUAAGGGUCAUCUAUCUGUUGAAUACUAGACAAGGAGUCUGAGAGAAAAUGACCGAAAAAGUUUCGGACACCGGAAAAGUUUCGGACAGCGGAAAAGGUUCCGUAGAGAGAGGUCAUCGGAUGAGUUUCGAUGAAACUAAAAAGUUGUUUCAGGGGAUACCAUUAAGUCAAAUUGGUUUCCGCACAUGCCUGAUAAUUCUUGGAGGGUUCCAGAAUCAUUCUGGAAGCUUUCUGGAAUUUUCCAGGAUAAUAACCGGAUAUGCUCCGGAGCUGCCGGAACCACUUCAGAUGCUUUUCGCAGAUGAAAAUCACUAAACCGGAAUUGUUUCGGAAUGCGUUGAAAAUCAUUUUGGUGGGUACUGGAAAUGUUCUAAGCCCACAUAAAUAUUUUCAGUUCGAACGGACGCUGAAAAAUGUCAUCGUGAAUAGUGAAAGUACUUUUUGGGAUAUUUAUGGAAAGCCACCUUUUGGGGCUUUUCCCAAAAGGCUUCUAGAAGGACAUGGGGAUUAAGGAACCCCCUUUGGGGGGCCCCCAUGAAGGUGGGACGUUGGAGGGUGCAGCUCCUCCAUGGGGCUCCACUUGUCAUCCCUUUAUGCCUUUUAUACCCUUUGUGUGUGACAUAAAGUGGGGGCACUUUUGGUAUUUCAGAAUACCCAUCCUACCCCUUGGUUUCCCUAUAAAUAGGAGGUGAGGGGGCUGCCCAAACCUCAUCCCUUCUCACAUACAAGUUCCAUGCAAUGAUCUGGCUUCUUCUCUCCCUCCCACGAAAAGAGUUUCGUAGAGCCGUAAGGCUGUCUGGGUUCCGGUAGGAACUAGUUCUGGACGGCGAAGCCCUACCGGAUAGAUGACACCGUAUGUGUGCAACUCUGUAGAGAGAUCGUAGUUUCGGUCUUAGUUCAUGAGUGCCUCCCGAAGGGCUGUCCUUGUGACCGUCCGAGUUUUGAAGGUCCUCCCGAAGGGCUGUUCGAGUGACCGUUCGAGUUUCGAAGGCCCUCCCGAAGGGCUGUCCGCGACACCGUCUGGGGGGGUGUUCGACCGCCUCCUGGAGGGCUGUCUGAGGAGCAGAUGAGGGUAUACAUCCUCGCGAUUGGGAGGUUGUAAAUCCUAGCUACGGGGAUCUGCACCGCCGAUCGUCAUCGACUCUACUUCCCGCUGCGCUACGAGUCGGUAAUGAAAAAGAUCAAACCAUGUACGCAGUCUCCAUAGUGGUCCUGGGCUGGUGCGUAGGUCGGAAAUUUUUGUUUUCUGCCGCGUUCCCCUACACUCUAGAGGGCUGGCUUGUUCAUCCUGCGGCUCUACAUCAUGCUGGAGGGGAUUGAUUGUCUUCGGCAGUAUCCGGAGUGUUAUUAUCUCCUAUGCGGGUAUUACUAAUUUUGUUGUGGCGGGACUUAGAGCAGCGCCGCUGACGUCGGUGCUUGGGUUGCUUCUUGGAGGGGUCAUCCUCUGCUGUCUCGUCGCCAUUGCUUUCCUUAGGGGUGUCCACCAUAUAUAUGUCGUAUGAUGAUGUGGCGGUCCAGCGCCCUGUGGGUGGUGGUUCCUGCUCGUCUCCUGCUCGUCAUCCAUAUUGUCGAUGUCUUUAGAGUCGAAGUCGAGCAUGUCGGUUAAAUCGUCAACAGUGGCUACUAAGUGGGUGGUGGGUGGGCAGCGAAUUUCUUCGUCGUCCGCAUCCCAUUCUAGCCGGACAUAGUUCAGCCAAGGUUCUCCUGAUAGGGAGCGGGACCUCAAUGAAUUUAGCACAUCGCUGAAGGGUGAGUGCUGAAAGAUAUCUGUGGAGGUGAACUCCAUGAUCGGCGCCCAGUCGAAUUCGACGGGCACGGGUGUAAGCGGCUCGAAGUCCGUGGCCGGAGGUGAAUCCAGUGGUUCGGCGACACGGCUCUCGUAAGGGGUGAAGUCAGUAUCCGGCUCCAUCGCCACUGAGAGUGCGGUCUCCAUGGAGGGGUCUAUCCCUCCGCUCUCGGAUGGCACGAUUUGUUCCGGAUUGACGGCCGGAGUAUCUGCAGAUGCAAUCUCCUGAACACCGUCCAACAGCAGAGUUACGUCGUGCUCAUCGUGACUGUGCGGCGCACCUGACACGGGCUCGAAUCCGUCGAAGAUCAAGUCUCCGCGGACGUUGAUAGUGUAGUUUAAGUUUCCGAAUCUGACCUGAUGGCCAGGGCGUAGCUCUCGAUCUGCUCCAGAUGGCCAAGCGAAUUGGCCCGCAGUGUGAAGCCGCCGAAUACAAAGAUCUGUCCGGGGAGGAAAACCUCACCCUGGACCGCAUCGCUACCGAUGAUCGAAGGAGCCAUCAAGCCUUAUGGUGACGACAUAGUGGAACUCUCAAUGAAAGCACCGAUGUCGGUGUCAAAACCGGCGGAUCUCGGGUAGGGGGUCCCGAACUGUGCGUCUAAGGCGGAUGGUAACAGGAGGCAGGGGACACGAUGUUUACCCAGGUUCGGGCCCUCUUGAUGGAGGUAAUACCCUACGUGCUGCUUGAUUGUUCUUGAUGAUAUGAGUAUUAGAAGAGUUGAUCUACCACGAGAUUGUAGAGGCUAAACCCUAGAAGCUAGCCUAUGGUACGAUUGUAAGUUGUCCUACGGACUAAACCCUUCGGUUUUUAGACACCGGAGGGGGCUAGAGUUACACAGAGUCAGUUACAAGGGAGGAGAUCUAUAUAUCCGUAUUGCCUAGCUUGCCUUCCACGCCAAGGAGAGUCCCAUCCGGACACAGGACGAAGUCUUCAAUCUUGUAUCUUCAUAGUACAACAGUCCGGCCAAAGGAUAUAGUCCAGCUGUCCGGAGACCCCCUAAUCCAGGACUCCCUCACAUGUCUUUGAUAAACAAACUGAAAGGUACUUCUUAUUACAUCUCGACAGUCUGAAUGCUUAAGUAUUAAAAUGGUGGAGAAGCUCCGCAUUCCAAGCGCGUGGCUCCUCUUUCUUGUGUUCCACAUCAUACAGGUGAUAUGCUCCGUUGUGGAGCACUUUGGUGAUGAUGAAGGGGCCUUCCCAGGUGGGAGCAAGCUUGUGUGGACGUUGCUGAUCCACUUGGAGAACCAGGUCCCCCUCCUGAAAUGCUCGACCUCUUACGUUCCUAGCAUGGAAUCGACGAAGGUCUUGCUGAUAGAUGGUCGACCUGCUCAGGGCCAUCUCUCUCUCUUCUUCUAAAAGAUCAACGGCGUCUUGACAGGCUUGUUCUGCUUCUGCCUUUGAGAAGAGCUCCACUUGUGGGGCAUUAUGGAGUAGAUCAGUCAGCAGCACGGCCUCGGCUCCAUAAACCAGGAAGAAAGGAGUCCGGCCAGUCGACUGAUUUAGUGUUGUUCUCAGACUCCACAUUACUGAUGGUAACUCAUCUACCCAGGCACCAGCUGCAUGCUUGAGGUCUCGCAUCAAUCUGGGCUUCAACUCUUGUAAGAUCAAACCAUUUUCUCUUUCUGCUUGCCCGUUCGACUGUGGGUGAGCGACUGAAGCGUAGUCGACCCGGGUGCCCUGGGAAGCGCAGAAAGCUCUGAACUCAUCUGAAUCAAAGUUUGAACCAUUGUCUGUGAUGAUGCUGUGCGGGGCUCCAUAUAUGAAUGUUAAUUCUCUGAUGAAGCUGACGACGGUUCUCGAAUCGAGGUUCUUGAUGGGUUUGGCUUCAAUCCAUUUGGUGAACUUGUCGACUGCAACAAGCAGGUGGGUGAAACCACUUCUGCAAUCCUCAAGGGUCCAACCAUAUCCAAUCCCCAAACCGCAAACGGCCAGACGAGUGGAAUGGUAUUCAACGUGAGGCGGGCUUGUGAGACAUGUUAGAGUAAAACUGGCAGCCCUCACACUUGUCGACUAUUUCCUUCGCCCGUGGCCAGUAAAAAUCUGCUCAGUAUGCUUUGGCCAUGAUUGUCUGAGAGGACGCAUGGUGACCACAGGUCCCCGAGUGGAUAUCAUUGAGGAUCAUUCGACCUUCCUCCGGGGUAAUGCACCAUUGAGAAACUAUAGUCACACUCUCCCUGUACAGUCGACCACUUAUCACAGUGAAGGCUUUGGAUCGACGGACAAUCUGUCGUGCUUCAUCUUCGUCUUCUGGAAGCUCUUUCCUGAGAAUAUAUGCGAUGUACGACAUUGUCCAAUUAGGAAUGAUAAGCAAAACUUCCAUGAUUAAGUCUACCACGGCUAGGAUUUCAACUUAAGUCGGAUCAGUAGAACUCUUAGGUUACGGGGGCUCUUCUAUAAAGGGAUCCUCUUGAACUGAUGGUGUGUGAAGAUGCUCCAAGAACACAUUGCUGGGAAUGGGCUCUCCCUUGGAACCUAUCUUUUCCAGGUCAUCCGCUGCCUGAUUCUUCAGUCGGGAAAUGUGGUGCAGCUCUAGCCCUUCAAACUUCUUUUCUAACUUUCUCACUUCAUUACAAUAACCAGUCAUAGCUUGCCUUCUGACAUCCCACUCAUUCAUCACUUAAUUGACCACCAAAUCUGAGUCGCCGUAGACCAUUAGGCCACGGACGCCGAGUGAAAUGGCCAUCCGCAACACAUAUAGAAGCGCUUCGUAUUCAGUUUCAUUGUUGGAGGAAUCAAAGUGAAUCUGAAGGACAUAAGUAAGUAUGUCACCUCGCGGGGAUACCAGAACUACUCCAGCGCCAGAACCAUUCAACAUCUUGGAUCCAUCAAAGAACAUAGUCCAAUGUUCCUGGAAUUGAGUCGGUUGCUGUUGAUCAAUCCACUCGAUGAGGAAAUCUGCUAUUACCUGGGACUUGAUUUCUUUCUUUGCCUCAAUCUUGAUAUCCAACGGAAGGAGUUUAAUCGCCCACUUUGCCACUCGACUAGUUGCGUCCCUGUUAUUCAAAAUUUCUGACAAUGGAGCAUCACUGACGACUGUGAUAGAGUGAUUUGAGAAAUAGUGUGCAACCUUCUUUGAAGUCAAGUAAAUUCCAUAGACAAGCUUCUGAUAAUGUGGAUAUCUCUGCUUGGACGGGGUUAAGACUUCCGAAAUAUAGUACAAUGGGCGCUAAACCUUAUAGGCUUUACCUCCUUCUUCCCGCUCGACCGUGAGUACUGUACUAACAACUUGUCCACUGGCUGCAAUAUAAAGCAGUAAAGGCUCUUUGUUGAUUGGAGCAGCAAGCACCGACUGGGUGGAAAGCAGGGUUUUGAUCUCUGCAAACGCUGCGUCAGCUUCAAGAGUCCACUCGAACUUAUCAGAUUUCUUCAUCAAUCGGUAAAGAGGCAAUGCCUUUUCAUCGAGAUAAGAGAUGAAUCGACUCAAGGAGGCCAAACAACCAGUAAGCUUCUGAACAUCGUGUAUGCACAUAGGGCUUUUCAUUUGGAGUAUUGCACCAACUUUCUCUAGGUUUGCAUCGAUCCCAUGUUCGGAAACGCGGAAACCAAGUAACUUUGGCGUACCUCUCUGGGUGCUCUAGGUCCAAGGGUAUCUUCUUCGUCUCUUUGGCCGGCUUAAACGAACCCUCAGCCUCUGACUCUUUUGGGUUGGGCGACACCUCAGGCUGCUUGCCGGCCAUUGCCACAACUCGCUCAAGGAGCCGCUUCUCAGCCGCGAUUACCAGGGACUCGGCCAGCCGACUUCUCUCUGCUGCGCAAGCAGACGACUUCCGGUAGUCGCCAGCCAUAGUUAGAAUUCCCCUGGAACUGGGCAUCUUCAUCUUGAGGUAGGCGUAGUGGGGGACCUCCAUGAACUUGGCCAAGGCAGGUCAGCCAAACAACGCAUGGUAUGGGCUCUCGAGAUCCACCACCUCAAACCAAACGGGCUCUCUACGGAAGUGAUCUUUGUCCCCAAAGAGGACGUCCAUCAGGAUCUUGCCGAUUGGCGAGCAGGAAAGACCAGGAACAAUGCCGUGGAACACAAUUCGGCUAUUCUAAAGCUGUCUUUGCUUGAUUCCUAACUUCUCCAUGGUGUCCUUGUACAGGAUAUUGAUGCUACUGCCCCCGUCUAUCAGAACUCGCGAGAAACGCGCGGCUUGUCUGUCCGUAGCAAAGGUGGCAUCCAGGACCAAGGCAUAAGAGCCUGGACUCGGCAUCACUUUUGGGUGGUCAGCCCUGCUCCAGCUGAUGGGCUUCUCAGACUAGUGCAUGAACUCUGGCGUCUCUGACGCUACUGCAUUCACCUCUUGUCGCUGCAGCCGCCUGUUGUGUCGAUCAUCAGCCACACUGGUGAACACCACAUAGGCUCCAUGCUCUUCAGGGUAUUCGUCUUGUACUGCGCCGACUGGCUUGACAGCCAGCUGCUGGGGCGGAGGCGGAGGCGGCUGCCCAGCAGGCGGGGGAGGCAGGAGGCCGUCUCCCUUGGCGAUCCUGGUGAGCCAGUGGCACUUCCAGGUGGUGUGAUUCGAUGGCUUUGCACCGCUAUGGAACUUGCAAGGUCCAUCCAAGGUCUGCUGAUAGGAGAAGGCAGGCAACCAGUUUGGCUUGCCGCCUUUCUUUUGCUUGGGCGGGGGCUGCUCAUCUGGCUGCUGGGCUUCAACGAUCGUGACCUGCCUGCUGCUGGAAGCUGGCUGCGGGGCCUUGCGCUUGUUGUCGCCCUGCUGUUGUCGCCGGCCGGCGUCUGCCGCCGGAGUUCUUGGAGCUUGAGGAGCCACUUUGCUAGUUGUGCUGAUUUGAAUUUCCGCCUUAAUGGAGGAGUCGGCCAUGGCGUAUUUGUCCGCUAUGAUCAGCAGCUCAUCGAGGGUUCUGGCUCGUCACAAAGGAGCUUGUGCAUGAGGAGGGUGCCUUCUCUGCACCCGGCUGUGAAGUACUCGAUGGCCUGCACCUCGUGCAUGCCCUCGCAGGAGUUCCGGAGCUCGGCCCAACGCGUGAGGUAAUCACGAGUUGACUCGUCGGGGCCUUGCACGCACAAGGAGAGCUGACGAGGCUUGGGAGGACGCUUGUACGUGCUGGUGAAGUUGCGGACGAACGCUUCGGUGAAGUCGACCCAGCUGUUGAUGUUGCGGGGCUUCAGGCCGUUCAGCCAUGUCCGGGCCGUGCCCUGGAGCAUGAGCGGAACGUACUUUAUGGUGACACGCUUGUUGCCGUUUGCUAUGUUGACAGCCAUGGAGUAGUCAACUAGCCAGUCUUCCGGGUUCACGGAGCCGGUAUACUUGGGCGUGUCUCUUGGGAGCGUGAACCCUCUGGGAAAGGGUUUGUCCCGAAUGCGGGGCCCGAAACAAGGCGGACCCAGCUCGUCUUCUUCUUCUAGCGCUAAGGAUCGGUGGAGUCGGUCGAUCCGGUGGCGGGCGUCGUUCUCUCCAACUCCCUCUCGGCGGCCAAGGCGGUCACCGAGAGUCGGAUGGUCAACAGGCGGCGGGGAGACUCGCCUCUCCUUGCGGGAAGGGGAGGCGGACAAUCGUCCCGUCGUUCCACUGCUCUUGGGCGGCCGUCUCGGUCGCGCUCUAUGGUAAUGCGAGUCCGACCAUGGCUGACAGUCGGCUCCUUGUAUCUUCUACCUCGGGCGCCGCCAGUCGGUGUCUGAGACGUUGCACCUUGAUCUCGGUGAAGGUCGUCGACGGGCCGUUGAGGCGCCUGCGUGCGGCAGCCGGCCUCGUUCUGCGCGGCAGCCGCGUCGAGAAGCCGCUGGACUCGUUCCAUCAUGAGGUGGCGUUCUUCGCCCUCGAAAUUGUCCAGCUUGUUCGCUGCUGCCUGGGCAGCUCGGAUGUUCUCCGCUGGUGUAGCGUACACAGGGCGGCUUGCCCCAAACAGGUUGGCGAUGGCUACGCCGCGCUACCGGACCGUGCCAAGGCGGCUGGGCCCCGCCGGGGCCAGCGAGCCACCGACGGCGUGAUCCAUCUCCCGCUGGUAGGCUUCUGACAAGCGCCUCAUGCUGGCCAGCUUCUUCGCGCCUACAAGGAGUUGAAGGCGGCGUGCCUCCAGCGUCUCUGCGUCAGCGUCUUCCGAAAUGGGCGCAGUUAGGUCUUGUAGCGCCGCGCCUAGCGAGUCGUGCGCUCCUCCACCGGGGAGCUCGUCAUGACUGGUGACUAGCACCUCGGUGACGGUGCUUCCGUUGCUCUCUGCGUGGGGGAGAGGUUCGUCGUAGACCACCACAUUGGUGGGGAACGCGUCGAGCGACGUGGUGUUGGAGUCGACCAGCAUUGGGUCGGUUGAGCCUAGGGACUCCAAGUCUACGGCAGGCUCGCCGGAAACGUGGAGUUGAUCGAGGAGGCCUGCGAGGAGGUUCUCGGGGCCGCCCGUGCCUGCGUUGGAUGUAGGUUCGUCGGAGAGGCGGACCUCACCGACAAGUUCGGCCAAGGAGCUGACCGCGCAGGCAAUUUCGACGCCGCUUAGCGCGUCGACGCAAACUCCGUCUGGCGUGCCUGGCUGGCUGCGCUCGCCAGGGAGGAAAAGGGUUCCCGUCCAGAGCAGAUCUCCAGACGGCGGUGCACCAGGCCCCACGGUGGGUGCCAAAUGUCGGGGGUUUGGUGCGACAUAUGCCAACGGAUGGCUUAUCAUGGUGGGGGCGAGUAGAACGUCGCUGGUGCCUGGAAACGGGAUGAGGCGAAGACAUGCACGCCGGUGAAUCUUACCCAGCUUCGGGGCUCUCCGGGGAGAUAAUACCCCUACUGCUGCUCUGCGGGGUCUCCGCAUGAUCACUAUGGCCAAGUGUUUACACGGUUGCUCCUUGAGCUGUUUUCUGGUGGUAGGAGAGGGCAAGGCUAGCUCUCUCCCUUCUAUAUGAUCUGUUCUAGAGCUAAUGGGUUCCAACCCUUUGCAUGGGUGCCCUGGGGGGUUUAUAUAGGCCUACCCCCCAGGGGUACAAUGGUAAUCCGGCUGGACGCGGGCCCAGCUGUCAGUGUCUCUGGCCUCCGUCUUCUCUACUGACCGCUGGGGCCCGUCGACUGGCGGGCCCCGCCGACUGGCCUGGUACGGAGCCGACAGGCCGUGUCCGCCGCGGGCGGGUCUUGCCGGCUGCUGGUUACUGUAGCCAUGCUUCUGAUGACGCGAGCUUGAUCAUGAGGUCGUGGUAACAGCCCCGCCACCUGGCGUGCGAUCACUGUUGCCACUCCCCAUCACAUCUUGAUUAAUGGCGCAUGGGCCCCGGGGGAGGGCUCGGCCGACUCCCCCGGGCCGACUCCCGACGGGUCCGACUGGUGGUUCUCCUGCCGUCUCCCGAGGUCUCACUGACUGGUGGGGCCUGCUGCCUCCAGGCCGAACAGACAAGCCGUCGUGGGUGCAGGAUUCGGCCCUGCGGUGCUGAUGUUAGGGCCGGCAUGGCAACAGUGCCACGCCGCACGGAGAUCUUCCGGGGUACGGCGUGCUGUGGCCAUGCCUGCCCUUGGUGAGGGGCGGGGGUGGGCUUCGCUGUAGCCACGCCCCUGCCUCGUCCCCUCUGAUGAGGUCAUGGGGUUUGUUGGAGUCGCAGGCCGACUCCCCACAGCCGGCUUCUCUGCAAGUUGUCCCUGGGACUCGGCCGUGAGCGGGCAGUCGGCCGCCUUGUCGUCGACUCCCCAGGAGGCGGCUCUUCGUCCUAGGGUCUUGAGGGGCGCAGCCUGCCCCGAUGUCUUGAAAGGUUCUGGGGCUCGGGUUGGCCUACCCGCGGCCCAUUACUCCGACACCCAGGCUUUAGCAUGACUUAAAGUUGUUACAGCUCCAGCUCUCGCGUAUGAUCGCUUGAUUUCUUGGAACCGGGCGGGGAAGAUAUACAGCUUCUUCAAGAUGUCACUUAAUAGAGUCGGCCCUUGAUUCACGGGGGAGAUAGUCUUGGGGGCUAAUGUCUGUCAGCGCAAUUUUUUUCAAAGGAAACAAUUUUUCUAAAAAGUCCCAAGUGUUUUGCAGGCAACAACACUCGGCACUUGGGGGCUAAUGCAUAUUGCUUGACUUUUCUUUCUACAAGUGAGCCGGAUAAGCUGUCCACAGUCUCAGCCAGCUCAGGCAGGUUAUACGGUUCAUUUCUAUGCAAUAAUUAGUAGGACCGGCUCAUUCAUACUGAUUAAACCGGCCCUUGGAGAAUAGCAGGGUAUAUAACUUAUAUGAGAUGGAGAACAUACCUCAUAUUUUUGAUGCAUCUGUUUGACCAUUUCAAUUUCUGAGUCAUGGCUGGAGUGCACUUGACUGAGAUAACUAGAUAGCACUUCACUAAUACUCAGGUGAGCAUAGUGGGAGACAUCCAACCUCACCUUUUGCCUCUCCAUAACUUCUUGUUUGGCAGAGUGUCUUGCCAAGACAGUUGGGUUCCCCUGUUCAACGAAUCUAGUGCUAGUGAUUAAAACAUCAACAUUGUGCUUCUCCGGCGGGUUAGCUGAGCUUGAUGUCUCAAUACUUGAUGGAUCAAUAGUAGUUUCAUCUGUAGACGGCUCAUGUAAAUCAGGUUGAACAUUGAAGGCAGGGUCCUCUAGCCGUUCAGCGUGUUCAUGCACAAAGGUUGACUGCUCCGGGUCUUCAGGAUGUUCUGGUACGAGGGUUGGCUACUCCGGUUCAGUGGUUCUCGGAUCCUCAGCCGGUUUUGUUACCUUUGCUUUCUUGGGCUUUGCUUGACCGCUAGAAAGGAUUUAGACAAGUCAGUACAAUGAUACAUAUUUAAAGGUGUAUAAGAAGGGUAGUUAUCUUUACCCGGGGGCGGUCUUGAAAGCUGGAAAUUGCGUCUAUGAUGAAUCGCCGGAGGAGGAAUGGGAAAUAUCCUAUAAAGAUGGAAUCAAAAAUAAGUGAUGAAGGUAAUUCAUUGAAUAAAUACAAGGGUGAAAGCCAAAAAAGAACCUCAUUCUGGUGUUUCCUAGGAGUUUUUGGUAAGCCGGAGGGUAAAUCGUCAUCUCCACCGGUCUGGGUCUGCCGGCGGCUUUCAUGUUGCUGUCGUUUAAAAAGAAAAUGAGGAUCUAAAUAAGCCAAGGGGUGUCAAAACCUUACUUUCCGGGUUACCCGCCGAAGUUUCUGCCUUGGUAAAGGUUCUGAGUCGGAGGAAAUAAUAUUUACCUCUUCUUCAACUGCCUGGCUGGCCCCCAUAUCAUCCUGGUAAUAGUCAAUGUCAAUAAGGUGGUUAAAAAGCAGGCCAAGAGAGAAAGGGCUACCUCUGACUCAGAGGUGUCAUCCAGCUUGAGUAACUCAGAGGCGGUUGGCUUCUUCUUCUUCUUCUUCUUCUUCUUCUUCUUCUUCUUCUUCUUCUUCUUUUUCUUUGAUUUUCUGACGAUUUUCUUGGCGGCUAUUGCAGCAGCUCUAGCUUUCUUGGCAGCCUCAUGGUCAUACUUGACUUUCCAAAAGUCAGAUUUAGCCUGUGGAAGGGUAGCAUGUUGAAAUUCAUGCAAAUAUUUAAACUCUGGGUUCCAAGGUCAUCAAGGUCAUCAAGGCACACAAAGCAAUCAGGGUAGCUACCAUCAACAGUCAGGUCAAGGGAGUCAGUAACAGCAAUCUGGGUAUCAGAGUAACCCGAAACAUUUGAAUAGUGGACAGUAUCACGUCUUCACCACAAGUUUGUGCAAACGGGAUCAGGAGUUUCAUAAAAGGGCAGUAAACUCUGUUGAACCGACAGUACCCUGUUACUUGCGCUGGUCUGAGCAGGCUAUUGUGUGGAGUCGAGAGGAUCAUCCACCCAGGGUUGAUAACUCGGGUCAUUUAGCAUUGGUGGUCGCACCUCAUGUUGGAGGGUAUAGGUUCACCAAAGUGCUCAUGGACGGAGGGAGCAGCAUCAAUAUCCUUUAUUAUGAGACCUUCCGUUGCAUGGGGUUGACCGAUAAAAAUCUUAAGCCGUCAAACACUGUCUUCCAUGGUGUGGUGCCUGGUAAAUCAGCAUAUCCGGUUGGUAAGAUAGCUCUGGAAGUUGCCUUUGAAGAUGAUCAUGAAUCUAGAUCAGAGACAUUAACCUUUGAGGUGGUGAAAAUCAAGAGCCCUUAUCAUGCCCUGUCCGGACGGCCGACUUAUGCUAAGUUCAUGGCAAGGCCCUGUUAUGUUUAUCUGUAGCUCAAGAUGCCGGUUCAUAAGGGGACCAUCACAAUGCAUGGGAGCCGGAAUAUAGCCUAGGAGUGUGAAGAGGGUGGUGCGGCGUAUGCUGAGUCGGUUUGUGCAACAGAGGAGUUAAAGUUUUAAAAGGAUAAUGUUGACCUGGCAGAUAUGAAUUUGAAAAACCAACCAUAGAGCAUGAUCCGGUUUUAAAAUUUAAGUCGGUAGAUGACACUAAGAUGGUUGACUUUGUCCCUGGUGACUCAUCUAAGCAGUUCAGCAUUAGUGCUAAUCUGGAUCCGAAAUAGGAAAUCGCGCUCAUCGAGUUCAUCUGUGAGAACCGGGACAUCUUUGCAUGGAAGCCCUCAGACAUGCCGGGUGUACCAAGAGAACUCGCUGAGCACACUCUUAAUAUUGAUCCAAAGUUUAAACCGGUCAAGCAGUUUCUUCGCCGUUUUAAUGAGGAGAGACGGACGACCAUUGGAUAAGAGGUAGCCCGGCUCUUGGCAGCUGGGUUUAUCAUUGAAGUUUUUCAUCCUAAGUGGUUGGCUAACCCGGUGUUGGUACUUAAGAAGAAUGGCACUUGGCGUAUGUGUGUGGAUUACACAGACUUAAACAAGGCCUGUCCGGCUGAUCCUUUUGCUCUCCUUCAUAUUGACCAGAUUAUUGAUGCUACGGCGGGUUGUGAGCAUUUGAGUUUUUUAGAUGCUUAUUCUAGUUAUCAUCAGAUCAAAAUGGCAGUUAAGGACCAGGAGAAGACAUCCUUCAUAACUCCCUUUGGAGCCUUCUGCUAUGUGUUUAUGCCUUUUGGGCUCAAGAGUGCCCAGGUGACUUAUCAGAGGUUAGUGCAUAAUUGCCUUCAUAACCAAAUUGGGUGUAAUGUUCAUGCCUAUGUGGAUGAUAUUGUGGUGAAAUCCAGAGAGAAAGAGACACUGAUAAGUGAUUUGAAGGAAAUCUUUGAUAAUCUCUGGAUCUACAAGAUAAUGCUUAACCCGACCAAGUGUGUGUUUGGUGUGCCGGCGGGCAAGCUCCUGGGUUUUUUGGUGUCUAAUAGAGGGAUUGAAGCUAAUCCAGAGAAGAUCAAAGCUAUCACCUCUCUGGCUAAACCGGUGUGUAUCAAUGAUGGGCAGCGCCUGGCGGGUCGUAUCGCGGUGUUAAACCGUUUCAUAAGCUAGUUGGGGGAGAAGGCUAUCCCUCUGUAUCAGAUAAUGAAAAAGACAGAUAACUUUGUCUGGAGUGAUGCUGCUGAUGCAGCGUUUGAGGAUUUGAAGAAGCAGCUGAUUGUACCGCCAGUGCUCACAUCCCCUAUUGAUAAGGAGCCUUUACUGUUAUAUGUGGCUGCUAAUAGCCGGGCUGUCACUGUUGCCAUUGUGGUGGAAAGGAAGGAAGCAGGAAAGGAGUAUCCGGUUCAAAGGCCGGUUUACUAUAUCAGCGAAAUGCUCAUUGUGUCCAAGCAGAGGUAUCCACACUGGCAGAAACUUGUAUAUGGGGUGUUCUUGGCCAGCUGGAAGCUUAAACAUUAUUUUCUGGGCCAUCCUAUCACUGUGGUAAGCUCUGCUCCUUUGGGAGUUAUCAUCCAAAAUAGAGAAGUAACUAGCCGGGUCGCUAAGUGGGCCAUUGAGCUUGCACCUCAUGGAUUAAAGUAUGUGCCUCACACGGCCAUCAAGUCUCAAGCACUGGUGGACUUCAUCAACGAUUGGACAGAGCUACAGAUGCCUGAGGAAAAGCCGGAUAACACAUAUUGGACUAUUCAUUUGGAUGGGUCCAGGUAGUUGGAAGGCUCGGGGGAUGGAGCUAUUCUCGCUCCCCCUUGAGGUGGUAAAUUUUGCUAUGUUCUUCGUUUGAUGUUUCCUUGUACUAACAACACAGCAAAGUAUGAGGCCUUACUCCACGGUCUUCGGAUGGCCAAGGAAAUGAAUUUAAGCCGGGUUAGGUGCUUUGGCGACUCAGAUUUGGUGGCUCAACAAGUCCCUGGUACUUGGGAUUCUAAGGACCCACUUAUGGCGGCUUAUCGGCGAGAGGUGGACGUCAUUGCUGGUCACUUCAAAGGAUAUCAAGUUGAGCAUGUUGAUCGAAGGAAAAAUGAAGCGGUAGACGCUUUAAGUCGGCUGGGCUCUCAACGUAAGCUGGUGCCACCUAAUGUCUUUCUUGACGUCUUGCAUAACCCGUUAGUUAAGGUUCCUAUAGAGGAGGAUUUGGCUAUUCCUGACCCGAAGGCUCAGUUGGUGGUGGCUCUUCAUGUAAUCCCAUAUUGGAAAGUCCCUUAUUUGGCCUAUAUGACCCGGGGUGAGUUACCUGAGGAUGGGACCUUAGCCAGGAAGAUAACCCGGCGGUCUAAGUCAAUGUCGAUUGUUAAUGGAGAGUUACAUCAUCGCAGUGUCACAGGGGCGUUUCAACAUUGUGUGUCUCCGGAAGAAGGUUGUGAGAUCUUACGAGAAGUUCAUGAAGGAGAUUGUGGUCAUCAUGCCGGUUCAAAGUCCCUUGUGGCUAAAGCUUUCCGUCAUGGGUUUUAUUGGCUAACAGCUUAUGCUGAUGCAGAGGACUUCGUCCGUAGGCGUGAUGGAUGUCAGAAAUUUGCACGACGUACCCAUGUGCCGGCUCAAGAGUUAAGGAUGAUUCCUAUUACUUGGCCAUUUGCAGUUUGGGGGCUCGAUAUGGUUGGGCCUUUUAGAAGAUCCAAGGAUAAGAAGACUCACCUUUUGGUGGUGGUUGAUAAGUUCACUAAGUGGGUAGAGGCAGAGACGGUCAGUAAGUGUGAUGCAGCAACGUCGGUUCAGUUCAUGAAGAAGGCGAUCUUUUGUUUUGGCUUUCCACACAACAUUAUAACAGACAAUGGCACUAAUCUUUCUAAGGGUGCCAUGGAAGAAUUCUGUCAACUUGAGCAUAUCCGGCUUGAUGUGUCAUCAGUGGCUCACCCCCAAUCCAAUGGUCAAGCUGAAAGGGCAAACCAAGAGGUCUUGAAGGGUAUUAAACCCCGGCUUAUGGUCCCGUUAUAGAGGACGCCGGGUUGUUGGGUGGAAUAGUUGCCUUCGGUGCUAUGGAACAUUAACACCACCCCAAAUAGAUACACAUGAUAUACACCUUUCUUCAUGGUUUACGGAGCAGAGGCAGUUCUCCCUAGUGACAUCUGUCAUGACUCGCCUCGGGUGGCGGCUUAUGUGGAAGCAGAUAAUGAAAGAGCAUGUCAAGAGGCACUUGAUCUAUUAGAUGAAGAGCAGGACAUAGCAGCAACUCGUUUGGUGAUUUACCAGCAAGAUAUGCGUCGUUAUCACAGCCGCCGGGUUAAAAUAGAACUUUUCAAGAAGGCGACCUGGUGCUCCGGCUUAUCCAGGAUCAGACUGAUAAUGCACAAGUUAUCCCAACCUUGGUAAGGACCCUUUGUGGUCAGCAAGAAUCUAAACAAUGGGUCAUAUUACCUUAUCGAUGUUCGAGACCACAAGGACUCACACACGUCGGAGGAGGAGACCCGCCGGCCCUGGAAUAUUGCUCAGCUUAGGCCAUACUACACUUGAGCCACAGGCUCUCCUUAUGUACAUAUUUAGACAAUGUAUAUAUUAUGAUUGAUAUAAUAAACCGGCAUCCCUGCUAAAGCAGGGCCUCUGUCACACAUAAACACUAUUCUGAUCAUGGGAUCAGAAUAAUAUUCUGAUCACAACAUGAACUUCCCGAGUUACGCACCUGACCUUCCCCGAGUACUAGGUUGAACUUCAGCUAAAAGGUGUGCAAAUGGGGCUUGCGAUAUACCGUUGGAAAGCUAUGGACAUCAGUAUCAUGACCCAAGUUAAAUUUUUGGCAAAAUGUAAGCGGUUUAAGAGCAGUUUUGAAAACCAUUUUUUCUUCAUACAAAAAACGUGAAUCGUAUUUUCGAUCGCAUUUUUAAACUGUUUAUCUGAAUGAGGCAAAUAAUAUGGCGUUGGAAAGUUGCUGAAAAACCGCUCCUUCCACAUGUUGAAAGUUUUCUCUAAUUCCCUACAGUUAAAGAGUAAUUCGGAAAAUCGUAGAAUUUCACAAAUGGAACACCCGAGUUUGUAUUUUCGAUGCCAUUUCUAAACGACUAAUCCAAUUGAGGCAAAUAAUAUGGUGUUGGAAAGAUUAUGAAAAUGCGCUACUUUUUCAUGUUAAAAGUUUUUUCUAAUUUUGAACGGUUUAAAAGUAAUUUAGAAAACGGUACAACUUCCACCGAGUUCGUAUUUUCGAGCUAAUUUUUUAACCGUACGUCCAAAUGCAGCAAAUAAUAUGGCGUUGGAAAGCUUGAAGAAAUGGAAACUUUUUUGUACAUAUUGUUUCUCCUAAUUCAUUACGGUUUUAUGUUAGUUUUGAAAAUGGCUAAAAACGUAUUUUUGCCGUAAUUUUUACAAACUUUAUCGGAAUGGGGCAAAUAAUAUACCGCUGACGGAAAAUUCAAAACUUUUUCAUGUUGAUGGUUUUCUGUGAUUCCUUUCCGUUUUCAAGUAAUUUCGAAAAUGGCGAGAUCAUUCGUUCUGCCUUUAUCGCGAAACAGAUUCUUCGAAAAUGCACCGUGUGAAGAACCUGAACUUCUCGGCAUGUCUACUUGAACUUCACUCUGUUUUUCACGUGCUUUUUUUGCCCGUUUCUCUCCAUCCAUUGCUCGUAGCUCUCCAUCCACUCACCAGAAUUGAGCAAGUGAUGGAAAUCUGCUGUAAACACGCAACUUUCUCGAGUUGAUCGUUUUUUCAUACUCGCGAUAAUUUUAAAAGUUUUUCAUCUCAAAUUCAUUCACUAUAGUAGUCGAACUUCGUGCUGUUUUCAUGUUGAACUUCUGUGACGUAUUUUCGUUUUUAAUUUUCCCAUCCAUUUCAUCAGUGUUACACAAAUGAUAUUCUCUUUGUACAAACCCCUCUCACAUAGCAAAUAUUGGCAGAGCAGCAACUAUGGAUUUGAGAUGAACAAGUCUCCCAGAGUAUGACAUUAAGGAAGCAAUGCCAGAUAGUCUGUGGUCAAGUCUUGAUACCAUGGGCAUCAAAUCUUCUACUUUAGGUCUUGUAGAUCCCAUUGGUAGACCAAGAUAUGUGAAAGGCAUGGCUUCUUUUUUACAGUUGAAGGUAUUUGCCAGUUCUUGAGCUUUAUCAUCAGUCAUAUUGAUUGGAACCAUAGAAGAUUUACUAUAGUUUACAACAAGCCCAGUGAACUGGCAAAUAAUCUUUCGUUUUUAAGAUUGACUUUGUUAAGGCUUUUGAUAAAGUGAACUACAAGGCUAUCUUAUUCAUGAUGAAACAUCUGGGAUUUAGCAACAAAUGGAUUAGAUGGGUCUCAUCUAUCCUAUCUACUGCUUCUACAUCUGUCAUCCUUAAUAGUGUUCCAGGUAAAUGCAUACAAUGUAAGUGUGGUGUCAGACAAGGAGAUCCUUUUCCCCCUCUUCUAUAUGUUAUGGUUGGAGAAUUGUUGCAAAUCAUGGUUAAUGAUGCUUGGAGAAAUGGAACAUUAUCUUUACCAAUUGAGACUAAUUUUACUGAAUGCUACCCCAUCAUACAAUAUGCUGAUGACACACUGGUCAUCCUGCCAGCCGAUGAGGUACAAAUUAGAAGUUUCAUUGAGAUACUUGACAAUUUCUCAAAAUUCACUGGGCUUGUUGUAAACUAUAGUAAAUCUUCUAUGGUUCCAAUCAAUAUGACUGAUGAUAAAGCUCAAGAAGUGGCAAAUACCUUCAACUAUAAAAAAGAAGCCAUGCCUUUCACAUAUCUUGGUCUACCAAUGGGAUCUACAAGACCUAAAGUAGCAGAUUUGAUGCCCAUGGUAUCAAGACUUGACCACAGACUAUCUGGCAUUGCUUCCUUAAUGUCAUACUCUGGGAGACUUGUUCAUCUCAAAUCCAUAGUUACUGCUCUGCCAAUAUUUUCUAUGUGUUGUAUCAGAGUACCAUUCCCCAUACUGGACCACUUUGAAAAGUCUGGUAGGAAUUUUCUUUGGUAUGGUAAGGAUAUCAACAAAAAAGGAAAUUGUCUUGUCAAAUGGGAUAAUGUUUGCUUUCCAAAAAAGGCAGGGGGCCUAGGUGUGUUAAACCUAAGAGCACAAAACAAAACUCUGCUUAUUAAAUUUCUUUACAAAUUCUUCAACAAGCAUGAUAUUCCCUGGGUUAACCUUAUAUGGAACAAUUACUAUGACAAUGAUGAGGUACCUAGUUUCCCUACCAUGGUGGGAUCCUUUUGGUGGAGAGAUUGUUGCUCUAAUUUGCAAGACUUCAAAAAUAUGACUAUAUGCUAUGCUGGGACUAGUGAUACAAUUAAGCUACGGUUAGAUAAAUGGUGUUCUCAUACAAUAUCACAGUCAAUGCCUCAACUAUUUUCUUAUGCAAAGAAGGCUGACACAACUCUUGCAUCUGUCAACAACAUGGAGGAUAGUGAAUUUUAUGAAUUAUUCCACUUGCCUAUGUCUUCUAUUGCAGUACAACAGAGUAUCAAUCUUAGAGAGUUAAUCCACAACAGAGAGAACAGCAGCUAUCAGAUUCUUGGAAAUUCUAUUGGGGUGACACAAAGUACUCUAAUAAUAGAAUAUACCUUGAACUAAUGGGAAAUCCUGUUGACGCUCCUAAACCCUAUCAAUGGAUGUGGAAAUCAUGCUCACUUCCCAAGCAUAAAUUCUUCUUCUGGCUACUGUUACAAGACAGAUUAAACACUAGAGACCUACUCCACGGGAAGAAUUUCUACAUUGAGACUAGUAAGUGUGAAUUAUGUGAUGAUGAACCUAAUGAACACCUAAUGCAUCUCUUUUUUAGCUGUGAUUUCAGCCAAAUCUUCUGGAUGAACAUUGGUUACCAAUGGAACACUGAUCAUAACCUUAUAGAAUUGCUCUUGAAGGGAAGGAAGCAAGAUACCCAUGGCUGCUUUAAAGAAUGUUUGAUUGCUGGAUGCUGGAGUCUCUGGAAACACAGAAAUAGCAUUAUUUUUUAUCACAAGGUCAAGAAUAUGACAUAUUGCAUUGCCACUUUCAAGGAGCACUUCAGCAUGAUUAUAAAGAAGGCAAAACCUGGAUUGAAGGAGGGCAUGUAAAGCUGGCUAGAUCACUUGUAGACUAUUUAUUAUCUUGUACUACAUCCAUCAUGUAAAUCCAUAUGUAUCUGUUUCCCUCUUAUAAAUGAAAAUGCGAAACACAGUGGGGGUCUUCCCCACUGUUUUUGUCAAAAAAAACCACUCUCACAAUACAUUUUUUAACUUUCUCCGACCGAGGACUUCAAUUUACACAAAUGAUAUUCCUGUUGUUUUGAAGUAAAUUAGAGAAAUGACGAGAUCAUGAUUUAUGCCUUCAUUGCGAAUGGAAACGCACUGCAUGAAGUAGUUGAACUUCUCGGGCAUGUUUGUUUUGACCCUGACUCUGUUUUUGACAUGUUGUUUUUUGCACUUCGUGAAGUAGUUGAACUUCUGGGGCAAGUCUAUUUGAACUUCACUCUGUUUCACUUUAUUGUAUUGUUCUUAUAUGAAAUACACAUCAUGUAGUACAUGAACUUCCGGUUGUUAUCACUUUGAACAUCUCGCUGGUUUGAGAGAAUUAUUUUAAAACACAACAAACAACAUAUUUUUUUAUGUAUUUUGGACAUCUAAAUACACAGUGAACCUCUCUCGCAAGUUUUUUUUGAACUUUUACUCGUCGAGCACUUGAACUUCUAGCAACCUUUUUUUCGUUUAUGAGUUGUUUUUAAAAGUGCAAAAAAUGGCAUUGUGUUUUUUAUUUUUUGAACAGGUAAAUCCUAGGUUUUAAUAAACUCCGAACUUCUUUGUUAUUUCAAUAUGAACUUCCCCUUUUUAUAUUUUGAGUAAAGAAUUGUAUUCGAUUUUUAUACCGGAAAAAUCAAACAUGGAAAUAUAAGGUGAACCUCUCUCACAAGAAUUUUUGAACUUCUCCGGACAGAACACUUGAACUUCUUUUAACAAACCUUUUAAGCUUUUAUUUUUCUAUACUUUUAUUCUCACCGGAAAUGCAUUCCUUGCAGUAAUUGAACUUCUCGUUGUUUCACUAUGAACUUCUGCCACAUUUUUGUGUAUACGUCGAAUUACACGCAAUUGAAGGUUGGACGUCAUUUUUUGCCAUUUUUAAAACAUGUAAUUGGAGGUCAGACGUCCCAUUAUGAACCAUGCACGGAGGUGCAUGUGAACUUCUUGCAACAAAUCUGAGUUUUUUUAUAUACUUCGAACUUCUCUGCUAUUUUAAUUUCAACCUCUUAGUCAUAUUCUUAGAAAAGGAAAUAUGUUUUUAGAUAAGCAUCAAACAUUCUUUUUAAAAAUUGAACUUCAUUGUUUUAUUUUUCAUAGAAACGGUAAUAAUUUGAGUUUCCCAUAUACAUCGAAUUACUCCACUUUUUUAAUUUGAACUUCAUCAUUUUUAUUCUUUAGUAACAAUGAAAAUCCGAGUUUUUUUAUAAAUAUCAAACUUACCUAUUUUUGUAAUUUGGACUUCUUGGUUUAUUCUUUUAGUGACGGCAAAAUCUUAGUUUAGUCCCGUUAUUUAAAUUUCAGCUUCUAGAGUUUUUUAGAAAUGCUGAUAAUCUCAUUUUUUUAUGAUUUUUUGAACUGCUCUAUGUUUAAAAUUCAAACUUCUUAUUUUUAUUACAAGCGGUGAAAUAUCCGUUUCAAAUUGCUCUCUUAUUUUUGUACUAUUGUGUUAUUUUUGUGUGAACUUCUUAUGUUCUUCCCGUCAACAGAUUCAAAUUUUCCAUUUUUUAUACAUUGAAAUAUUGCUUUAUUUUAUUUUGAACUUCUUGAUUCCAUUCUUUAAUAACAAGGAAAAUCAUAGGUUCUAUAAUUAUCAAACUUCUCCAUAGUUUUAAUUUGGACUUCUUGGUUUUAUUUCUUGUAGUAGAAAAAAAAUUCUAGUCUUGUAAUAAACAUCAAACCACUUUAAUAAUGGAACAUUUCGUAGGAUUUUUGCAAAGAGUAAAAUCUGAGUUUUUAUAAACAUCAUACCACUCCAUUUUUUUAAAUUUGGGCUUCUUGGUUUUAGAGAAUAAGUAAAGUUUGAACUACUCAUUUUAUUAAAGUUGAACUUCUGAGUUUUCUUUUUUGUUAUGAUUGGGGAAAAUAAAAACUAAACAUUUUUUCGCACACAUCUAACCAUUGUUGUAUUUGAUAAUUCUUUUACAUGAGACCAUCCGAAUUUAUUCAUGUACAAACUUUAUUUUUGCAUUUCUAUUUUGACCUUUUUGCAAAUAUCUUAUAUGAACAUUCUUUGGGCAUCUUUAACGCACUUAUGGACGUGCACUUUUCAAGAACUAUUAAUUUUGGACUCUCACGCAUGAUGAAAUAUAACUACAAUGAUGUGGGUGUUUUUAUUUAAUUUUAUUGCUUUGAAAUAUCUUUUUCUUUUAGGUAAAAUAGGAAACAACAAUUUAACGUGGCUCACAGUUGCUUUUUUUACUUUGUAUAUCUUGGAUGUAUUUCUAGAACAAAAAUCAUAGUUGCUUUAACUUUUAAUAAUAUUACUUCGCCUUUUUCUUGAUGGGAGACGUACUUAGAUACAUUUUGUUUUGAACAAACAAUUCAUGAACUAUCUCAAACUUGACCUUCUCGAACACAAUUUCUUGGCCUUAGGAAAAUAAAUAAAAAAUAGAAAAAUACAUGGUUGUACAAGCAUAAAAAAUAGAUCGAUUUCUUUGUAUUCUCUUUUAUAUGCCUAUAGAAAUACUCAUCAUCCCCUAGGGGCGAUGCACAUGUUUCUGAGAUUGCAGAAACACCGAAAAAUAAAAACCGGUCGCUCCAUCUAACCCCUCCGAGCGUCCCACCCUCCCUUCCGCACCACCUCUCCCCCGAUCCUCCCGACCACCUCCGUAACGAUGACAUAACAAGGAUGGAAAAUGAUAUAUCUAUAGGAAGACCAUCUACAGAAAAGCCACAUCAUAAUCUUUAACCAUGGACAACAAGUUCAAACACAAAACCAAGGACUAUAGUAGCUAAACUCUCGCAGAAAUCUCUCUCUAGCAUUCUAGUUGAACUUGAACAGUAGCACACCAACAUUAGCUAGAGGGCGAGGUAGGACACAACAACAGCAGCUAGCAGCGAACACCAAAUGGAGGCUGGGUCGUGACGGUGGCACUGAGAUGGAGAAGGUGCAGGGCAUGGCAGGCAAAAAUAACUGUGAUUGAAAAGUCUUAAUUAGGUAGGUAGGCGUUACAAGAAAAAAAAAUAGCAAGUACAUCAAGUUUUAGUGCCUCUUUCACACAUAGAUGUGCAACAAAAUUGGCAUUCCUUCUUAUAUAGAUGAACUUGAACCCCUGGAAACUUGUGAGAUACGAAUGCAUCUCUCGAAAGCCAUCGACCGCCUCAGAAAAAGACUUGGAAUCCUUUGACAUCAUGCAUCAAACUUGGCCUUUAGUCUCAAUAACAUUAUUUCAUAAUCCUUUUUCAAUCACGAUCAACAUGGUUGUCCCUGCGAGCCAACUAUCGGCUUUACGAUUAUGAAAAUACUAGAUUUUGGCAAAUGUGUACGAGCUACUGAAGAAAUUGAAGAUAGUUGCAAACAAUAUACGAGCUACAACCUAACAAUUUGCAAGCGCUUGAGUGAAGGCAACACCUUUGUUCUUCUUGAACUUCUCAUUUUUCUUAUUCUGAACUUGAUGUUGUUAUUUUUUUUGCAACUGCCAGUGCCGGGAGGCCGGCUUCGCUCCGUCAGGUAGCCGCGUCCACCUCCUCACAGGAUAGCGAGCAGGGGAGGAAGGAGAGAUAGACCUGGCAGCAAGCGGGGGAGGAGCCGGAGUAGCGCUACAUCAGGGAUGCAGGGUGAACCUGAACCUGAAGUACAUAACACACAUGAAAAACACUCUUAAGUAAUCCAAGCCCUAUCAAUUAGCAAGCAAGGACUAAGCUAGAAAGGAAAAUGAACACACAAAACUAGUACUGGUGCACUAAGACAUUUUAGCCAACAUUUUGCGUGCACACACAAAAACUAGAGAAGUGGAGAGUGAAGAAGCAGAGAGGAGGCACAAUGGGUAGGGAACCUGCAGUGCUGCAUCCGCAUUCAGGGAUGGGUCGGGGACGAAGGAGCUUGCUGGAGCAGCACCCACCACCCCAUGCACGCAAAGUUGGAGCUGGUUGAGAUGAUAUGCGUCCUGGAAGAGUCGCCCUGCUGUUGUGGCACGACUUGGACUGCAGCGACCCACACAAUUUUUGUUGAUGCAUACACAAUGGAGGAGAUGAGCUUCGAUUAGCGUCAAUUAGCGCGCACACAUCUGGCGAGCACAGCGGCCCCGAUCCCGGGAGUGGUGGCCCGACGGCGGUGAACAGCCAGUGCUUUGCAGGGCGGGUCCCGGCUGCGGUGCACUAUGGGGUUCGUGCGGGAGGAUGCAAGGCCGGCCCCCUCCUCACAAGGCAGCGCCCUGCCGGGAGCCAUGGCUGUGACAGGGAUGAGCAAGAUGUUGAGAUCCAUCUUACCUCGCACGACGGUGGCGAAUGACUACAACUGGAGUCAUUGGACUGCAAUGGUGGGGUUGAGCUGGAGGAUGCAAUGGCGGCGGCGACAUGCACAUCAAUGCCGAGCAAAAUAAUGUGCCCAUUUUUGUUUUCCUGCAUUAGAAAAUGUUUUGCAAGAGAUUCCAGAUGCUACAACUAGUUCUCAUUAAAUUGGAGGAUACAAAAUCAAAUUCCCAAUACAAAUACAUUUUUAAUCUGGAACUAACAGAGGUUACAACAGAGAACAAUCCCUGGUUUCUCAAAUUGGAAUUCAUGCCCUUUUUAUGUCAUCGUUACAAACUAGACUUCUUUUUUUUCUAAUAAGAACACACACUAUAAAGGAAAAAUAGAAAUUUCUUUUGCCAUCCUUGGUGGAGCACAUAACGGCAGGUGCAACAAGUUCAGAGUGUGCAAGUAGAAAGGAAGAGGUUCGGAGAAAAAGACUGACACUUGGUCAUGCUGCGGAGGCGUCCUAUAGUCCAUACUUGUCUGGAGCAGCAGUAAUGAGGACACAACU
rnacentral:lncRNA from 1 species